AGAGCUGCUGGAGAGAACAGAAGCUAAACAAACUGAGUUUCAUAUACAUAGUCCAGAUCCAAAAUACAAAGCUACUCGCACUUGCGAGUUAAGUCCACUAUGUACAUAAACUCGAAACAAAACAUCUACCUGCAGUAGGAGCACCUCUAGCUCAGCACGUCGGGUAGGGCUCUAACUCGCAACGCCCUUGCCUCGAUCCUGAUCCGCGGACGGUGCAGCAGCCGGAACCUGUGGCUCUGCAAAAACAUAGGUAACAACUGGGCGUGAGAACUACUGUAAAAACAAGUAGUCCUCAGUGGGUACCGCCCAAAACAACAUCGGUCUACCCACUAAGUCUACAGAAGGGAGCAAGAAUAGUAGUGAAAUGCAGGAAUAAAGUCUACCGCUAUCAAAUACUACACUAUCAUGCUCUACACUAACCAACUGUAGGAAAUGUCCAACCUGACCCAAUCCAAUCGGGACUGUAAGCAUACCCGUCCCCGGGACUGUGAAUACACCCGUCCCUGCCCCGUUGUGACUGUCAAGCUCUAUCCACACUAACUGGUCCGUGGAGAGCAGGUCCAACUGGCAUGAGCGACACCAACGCGAAAGCACAAAGCCUGACUCCGGAGUGGCACUCGUGGGCGCUACCCAACCGAGUAUGCAGCGUAUCUCUGUCGAGCUCAAUCAGGCUCCAACUAGCCAAAGUCAAGUAAACAGGGUCAAAACAGGUCUACAAACCAAACCCACGUGCCCUCGGCACAAUCUGUGACCAAAACAAGAAUCUGGGUCCACCGCUAACCCGAACGGCACCCAACGACCCGAAACAGCCUAAACUCUGCUGAAAAAUAAGCUCGGCAUCUCAGCACGAGCGUAAAUGCCUUCUAAACUACCUGGGGUACUCACAACCCGAAUACAAUAACUGUAUAAAAAUACAACGGCCCCUAAGGCUAAAUCAGGUAAUUCAACAUAUGCCAGAUUCCGAACGCUGAUUUUCUCCUAUGUUUUAUCCAAGUCCCACAUGUAUGAUUAAUAACAACUAAUAACAUGCUCCCAAUUCAGUUUAUAUGUCUAAAACAUACCUACUUAUGAAUUUGAGCUAAACAAACAAUAACAACUUGUAAUAUUAACGAUACAUGUCGAUGAACAAUAUUAUAGGAGUAGGAUUCCGAUGAUAAACCCACCUCGUAUGCUAAAUCCAACGCGGGGCGACGUCGAGAACGGCGAAACCACGCCCUCGCCCGGACUCCUCGCGAUGCUACGACUGCAACCGUAUCCUCGAACGGCUCGGCGGCGCGAUGUCGACGUUGAAUCCGAGCUCCACGGCUACUCCCCCAAGCUCCACCUCGUGUGGUUCUCUACUUCACACUAAAGAGAGAAAGCAAAAACUAAAUUAAUUAGAGCCACCCUCAACCAAAUAAGCAUGUAUGGGGGAGUGCACGUGGCAUCCAUAGCCAUGCACACUUAGUCUAGGUACUAAUAUAUACAUAUAUAUAUAAAGAAAGGAUACUACAUUAAUUGUACGAAAAGAACGUUUUCUUAAUUAUUUAUUAUUUUCUUUUAAACUACAGUCUUCUCCUGAACGAGCCCCUUUUGCUCAUUAUUCAAAGAUGCAGAUGGAACGGCAGCUUCGUAGGGAAGCCCGUCUCGAGAAAAAGAGAGGGAUGGAAAAGAAGAAGAAAUCUGUUGAAACGGCGAGCACGACGCUGUUACCAAGUGAGGUUGCAUCACCUCUUUCUGUUCCUGCCCCAAUAUCAACCACAGGGGAUGAACAAAUAAACAUACCUCUUGGGCGAACUUCUGAAGACAAAAGCACUAUUCCUCCCUGCUCGACCCAGGGAGCUUCUUCCCCUAUUGCUGAUGAUCCUUUAUCUGCAACUCUUCAUUCUUUUUUGAUUUCAAGCCAUAGCUCCAAUGAGGGGGAUGAUUCUUCGACCAUUACCAUUUCAUCAGACACUCAGAACAAGUUCGAUGAAUGUCUUAAGAUGUAUAGCAUUGGUAUUCCUGGUCUAUCUCAGAAUCUAGAACAAUUUGAUCGGUUAUACGCCCUUUUACUUGAUUUAGCCGAUCGAUCAGACAUUACCCCCGGUAUCAAAUAUUUUGUAGCAACUUUAUCACUCCAACUUUCAUCUUUCUUGGCUCGGCAGCAAUCUUUGGGCGCCGAAUUUGUAGCUUUAGAUCAACAUUUCCAUCGUGUUGAUCAUUUUAAGAAGAAUAUCCCUGAUAUAGCAACUCCGAAUACUGAAGUGCAUCAAGAAGAUAAAGAAUUGGCUGAUUAAGAAUCGGCUCUACAAAAGCGGAUUUUCACUCUUAAAGAAGAGCUAGCUGCAGCCGAAUCUACUCUGGCACAAACCUCUGAGCGCCGACUUCAACUAAAAGAUCAAUUGAAGUCCAAAAGGGAAGAAGGGAUAAGGCUUAAAGAGGAGCUUUCUCAACUUUACAAAGUACAUCCUCUGAUGAAGCACCGAAGGAAAGUUGCUGAAACCGCCCAAGCCAAUCCCAUAGCCGAAUGGAAUCAACUCAAAGACUUAUUGUCUUGAUUCGGCUUGUAAUAUUCUAACUCUGAUUUUGACUAUGCUCCCAUAUGGAUGGAUAAUAUUUCUUUAAAUAUUUUUCGUUGAUUGGUUUUUCACUUGACCCAUCUCUGUUUUCCAAAUAAUAUGCAUUUUCUCUUGUGAUUCGGCUAAUCUGAAAUGGUCCUUCCCAAUUAGGGGAUCAUUUCCCAUACAUUCGGUCUUUUUGACCGAUUGGAAAAACUAGCCGAAGUACUAAAUCACCGACGACAAAUAUUUUUAAUCGAACUUUCUUAUUGUAUGCAUUACGUAUUCGGCUUUGGUAUGCAUGCAUAUUAUCCAAAGCUAUCAACCGAGUAUAUGUUAAUUCCUCUGUUUUGUCUUUCAUUAACUCACUAUAUUCAUCAGCCGAACGAUUUUUUUGUUUUUCUAUCCUUAAAGAAGGAACUGUUAUCUCGGCUGGGAUUACAGCCUCAUGGCCGUAUACUAAUUGGAAUGGUGUCAUCCCUGUUGCCGUUUUAACUGAAAUUCGGCAUGCCCAUAAUACUUCGAAAAGUUUUUCAUUCUAUUUUCUCGGAUGCUUCCCGAUAUGUCGUUUCAUAAGGUUAAUGACUAUCUUAUUUGCUGCUUCUACAUGUCCAUUCGCUUGAGCAUAAUAAGGAGACGAAUGAAGCAGCUUUAUUUUUCGAGACUCGAUGAACCGAACAAACUGUCCUCCUGUGAACAUUGUCCCUUGGUCGGUUGUGACGGUCUCAGGAAUUCCGAAACGAUGAAUUAUAUGAUCUUCAACAAAAUCAAUAAUUUUCUUUUGAGUAACCAACCGAGUAGGUUUGGCUUCCACCCACUUAGUAAAAUAAUCGAUAGCUACUAUUAGAAAUUUGUGACCAGCCGAGGAAUUCGGCUGAAUUUCUCCAAUUAAAUCAAUGGCCCAUCCUCGGAAAGGCCAUGGUUUAAUUAUUCCGUACAUCUCAGAGGCAGGGACCCUCUGAAUCGGGCCAUGAAAUUGACAUUCUUGGCAACCUUUAACAUAUUCUAUGCAAUCUUGAUGCAUAGUCGGCCAAUAAUAUCCUAGGUGCCGAAUUGUUCAUCUUAACUUUUUUUCCGCUAGAUGGGUUCCACAUAUUACUUCAUGUGUUUCUCCCAUUACUAAUAGAGCUUCUUCAGGCCCUAAGCAUUUUAAUAGAACUUCUUCGGCUGUUCUUUUGUAAAGUUGACCAUCCAACAAACAAUAGCCGAGAGCUCUUCUUCGAAUAUUAUAAUCGACCCUUAUAUUAGGAUCCUCCAAAUAUUUAAUCAAUGAUUUCCUCCAAUCUUCUUUCACUUCUAUAGGAGCUAUAAUCGGUUCUCGUAUGUGAACCGAAGGUAGUAAUCUCCUCUGUAUUACUAUUAACUCUGACUUCGGCUCUCUGUAUCCUGAAGCCGAUUGGGCCAAUUCAUUUGCCUUUUCAUUUUCCUGUCUACUCAAAUGUUCAAAUUCGGUUUCUCCGAAGUUGCAUAAUAAUUCUAUUGUCUUCCUCAAAUAAUUUUGCAAACUCGGAUUCUCACAUCGGUAUUCUCCGUUAACCUGCUUGAUUACUAACUGUGAAUCACCGAUAACUUUGAUUGACUUUGCUUUCAAUUCUUGCAAUAUUUCAAGGCCGAUUAUCAAGGCCUCAUACUCAGCUUGGUUGUUAGAACAACCGAAAUCUAGUUCAAAUGCAAAUUGAUAAAUAUGACCUUCAGGAGAUUGUAUCAUUAUCCCUGCUCCUGUAGAUUCGGUUGUUUUUGAACCGUCAAAGUACAACUUCCAAGGUUGACAGCCGAUCAAACUUUGUUUUGACUCCUCGAUCUCUACACAUGGGUGAUCAGCUAAAAAGUCGCCUAUAGCCUGACCUUUAACAGUUUUGCCGGGAACAUAAUUAAGAGAAAACUCGGAUAAAACUAAUAUCCACUUUCCAAUCCGCCCUCUUAAUACUGGCUUAGAUAACAUAUAUUUUACCAAAUCGGUUUUGCAUAUUACCGAUACUUCUGUUGAUAAAAUAUAAUAUCUCAAUUUCGUGCAUGCGUAAUAUAAAGUUAAACAUAAUUUUUCUAUAGCCGAGUACCGUUUUUCUGUAUCUAACAGACGUCGGCUUAGGUAAUAAAUGGCCUGCUCUUCCUUCUCUUCAUUUUCUUGAGCCAGCAAACAUCCUAAAUUUUCGUCUGCAGCCGAUAUAUAUAACUUUAUCGGCUGAUUUGGCUUUGGAAGUACUAGUACUGGAGGAUUUGAUAAGUAUUUUUUUAUAUUUUCAAAUGCCUCCUGCUGUUCCUCUGCCCUAACGAAUUCUUCUUUAUCUUUCAGCCGAAGUAAUGAAGUAAAAACUCCGAUUCUUCCGGCUAGAUUAGAUAUAAACCGCCGAAGAUAAUUAAUCUUCCCCACAGACUCUGUAGCUCCUUUUUGCACUUGGGUGGCGGUAAUUCUAAUAUUGCUCUCGCCUUAUUUUUAUCAAUUUCGAUUCCUUUCUUAUGCACAAAAAAUUCCAGAAAGUUCCCUGCAGAAACUCCAAAAGCGCAUUUCAAAGGGUUCAUCUUUAAAUUAUAUUUUCUCAUUCUCUCAAAAGCGAGCUUUAAAUAGAUCCAAUGUUCGGCUUGUGACUUGGAUUUGACAACUAUAUCAUCGAUAUAUACUUCCAACAUUUUGCCGAUUAAGUUAUGGAAAAUAAAAUUUAUUGCUCUUUGGUAAGUGACUCCGGCAUUCUUUAAGCCGAACGGCAUAACAACCCAUUCAAAGGUUCCAAUUGAACCGGGACAUUUGAAAGCCGUUUUAGCCACAUCUCCCUCAGCAAUAUAAAUUUGAUUAUAACCAGCAUCUCCAUCCAUAAAGGACAGAGUUUCAUUACCAGCAGCCGAAUCUACUAACAUAUCGGCUAUUGGCAUUGGAUAUUCGUCUUUAGGUGUAGCUAAAUUCAAGUUCCUAAAAUCGAUACAAACUCUAAGUUUGCCAUUCUUUUUACGCACUGGAACUAUAUUAGACACCCAAUCAACAUAACGGGCCGCUCUAAUAAAUCCGGUCUUUAAAAGAUUUUCGAUUUUAUUUUUAAUUUGGAAUAUAAUACUCGGCUCAAACCUACGAGCCGGUUGUUUAAAAGGCUUGAACCCUUUUUUGAUGGGCAACCGAUGCUCUACAAUCUCUCGGCUUAGACCUGGCAUUUCUUCAUAGCUCCAGGCGAAGCAAUCCUUGUACUCCUUCAACAGCUUCUUCAAUUCUUCCUGUUGCUGAGCCGACAGCUUGGAACUUAUAAACGUCGGCCUGUUGUCUUCAUAAGACCCCAGGUUUACUUCUAUCAACAAAUCCUGGGUCUCCAGCUUCUUCUCGUCGACUUUAAUAGGCGAUUCUUCAAGCUUCAUUUCCGUUGUUUGCCUAUUCAUCUCAUAUGAUUUAUCAGUCUCUAUGACCGAUUUCAUUUGACCUUUUUCCUCGGCUUUAUGUGCCGAAUCUUUUAUGGCUUCCUCGGCCUUAUUGGCCGAAUUGCCAAACGUUAACACAUCGGCUAUAGCAGCCGAAUCAUCCCCAUAGCCGAUCUUGUUGAUCGACUCAUUCUGUAGAGGCUUAUGCCAAGCCUCUAUUCUUGACUUUUGGGACUCCAUUUUAACCAUUUGGGUGGCUCUUCAUCAGCCACCAUAGCAUUGAUAUCUUUGGAGAGAAUUAAUUGAAUCCCCUCCUCCGUUACUCUUACAAACGAAAUCUGAUCUGGGUCAGCAUCGGCCCAAUUGGUAUGACCGAUGUCCUCCAUGUUAACAUCUAUCAUUUGAGGCCGUCCCUCGGCCCGGAUUUCUUCUACUUUGUCCCCUAUCCACUAGAACAAUUUCCCGUGGAGUGUAGAGGGUACGCACUCAUUUGAGUGUAUCCAAUCUCUUCCUAAUAGUAAGUUGUAGUGGCUAUCUGCAUCUACUACAAAAAACGCAGUUUUUAACGUUUUUGAGCCUACCGUGAGUUCGGUGGUGAGCACUCCUCGAGCUUGCUGACCGUUUCCUGUGAAAUCGGUCAUGAUUGAAUCGGUGGGCUUCAAUUCGUCUUCAUCUUUGCCCAACUUCUUAAAAAAGAAAGUAGGCAUCACAUUGACCAUGGCUCCGCCGUCUACCAUGACUCGGCCUACCGGCCGACCUUCGAUUAAAGCUUUUAUAAAGAGAGGCCUUAUGAACCUCGUUUGCAUGGCCGAUGGUUUCUCAAACACCACUGCAUCGGCCUGUCGAACAUCCUCUAGCUGCAAUUGGGCUACUGUAAGCCCAUUUUCUUCUUCCUCUCUGAAUUCCUUGUACUCAACAAACUCUGCUUUGAAGGAUUGAGGCAAAGCGUACACCAUACUCACCUCGGCCGGUGAUUCAUCAGCCGACUUUCCUUUGAUUUUCUGUUUCUUCUCUUCUGACUCCUUGACCGUUUCGGCUGAAGGGUCGCUUUCCAUACGGACCUCCCUCUCUUUAGGAGGCCAUCUUUCUCUCUUGAUCAUUGUCUCGAGGGAAGCUAUUUUAUCUUCUAACUCCCUCCUGGUCAUUUUUUCUUCUAACUCGGCCUCGGUUGGCCGUUCUAUUCUUGACUUCAACUGGAGGGCAGGCGAUGAGCCGCCUGCCUCGUGGUCAUUUCUCAUCGGACGAAAAGGGUGCGAUCGCUCCUCAGGGCAUCUCCAUACAUUGAGCCUCAUCCCUUUCGCCUUUUCAUAAUUUUGUCUUGCCUCUGCUUGCAUCCUCUGCUGCCGACGCUUCUGAUUUUUUGUUAACAUCGGCUCCUGCCAUCUGGCCGAUGGUUUAAUUUCGACUUCGUGCCAUUCAUCUACUGGCACAUUUGCUGGUACUUUUACCGUUCUUAAAUGAUUUUUUAGAAUUUCUCUUCUUUCCCAUGGUCUCGGCCAAGGCUGAAUGCCGAGUUCGUUGACUAGCCUUCGACCGAGAAAUCUAUGUCUCCCUUGGUCAUUCCUUCAAAUUCCGGUUCUGGUCUCGGCCUGGCUUGUUGUUACUAGUGUGGCCGAUAUCCAGGGAACCUUUGCUUGGAGCCGAAUGGUCUAUCCUGGUAAUCCCAUCGGCCAUGACGUUCUCCACGCCUAUUGUUGUAGUAAUCAUACAGAAUCUUCUGCAUCAGCAUAUCUUUCUUGCGUUGAACCGAAUCUACUUCCGGUUCAGUGUCAUCAGAGGCUGCAUCCGAGCCUUCUUCUUCUUGGUCUUCACCAUCGGGAAUGUCAUCCCAAUCCUCAGGGAACGCCAUCAGCUCAUUCCAUUCGUUCCCCCUUUUCUUGGCAUUCACGAUAGCUUUCCAGUCUUUUUUCGUCAUUUCGGCCUUGCACUUGAUGCAUAGCCGAAGAUGUUUUUUGGCAUGGGGUACAUUGUCAGCGGUCUCCUUGUCCAAAACUUCCUUUCCUUUAAUAUUCACCAUGUUGACCUGAAAUGGAGAUGAACUUUUGUUAAUUAUUUGAUUUUCGUUUUUCUAGUCGACCAAUAUGAGUCGACCCUCUUCUAUUUCUUCUUGGAUCUGCCUUUUCGCAGUCGCUUUUUCUUUCCCUUUCAUGUUCACGGCAUUGACCUGUGAUGGAAAAGGAUUCUUAUCAAUUUCCAUACCUUUAUUUUCUUGGUCGGCAAAGAUCAGCCGACCCUCAUUUAUCUCUUUUUGAAUUUGCAUUUUAAAGGCAGUACAUUCACUAGUUUUAUGGCUCCAUGAAUUGUGCCAUUUGUAGUAUUUUCUGCGUUUUAGUUCUUCUACAGGAGGUAUAGUUUGACCUUCCUGUAGUUUAAUUCGUCCAUCCUUUAACAACCGAUCGAAAAUAAGAUCGGCCUUUGCUAUGUCAAAUGAAUAAUUAAAUGCUGAUAUUUGUGCUUUUACUUCUCUUGACUUAGCAGGUUUUAGCAAAGCACACUUGUACGGUUGACUAUUCAUCACCAUCUCGGCAGCACAGAUUUCGACUUCAUCAGCCGAAUCUUCUGCCUCCUCAGAUGAAUUCGGCUCUUCCUGAGCCGAGGACUCUUCAAAGAAAGAAAUAUUUUUCUCCUUCCCUUUAUUCCAAUCUUUGUUUCGGCUCCAUCUAGGCCGAUCCUCAUUAUUCCCUUUUCGAAAUUGCUCGUAUUGAGCAACUCAAACUCCCAAAUCAAAAAGAUUUGGAAAGAACUUGUCUUCAAAAUGAUCUUUGAUCUUAAAAUGCAUGCCGUUGAAUGCCAUUUUAGCAAACUCUGAUUCCGGCAUUCUCACAAAAUAUCGGCUUCGAGCUGUCUUGAAUCGGUUUAAAUAUUCAUCAACCGAUUCUCCUGUUUUCUGUCUAAAUUGAGCCAAAUCCGCAACCGACAACUCUGGCUCGGUUCUAUAAAAUUGCUUAUGAAAUCUACCCUCUCAUUCGUCCCAAUCUCGGACGGAAUUAGCAGGUAAACUUGUAUACCAGGUGAAGGCAGUCUUGGUCAAUGAAGUAUUGAAUAACCUUAAUUUUAGAAAAGGAUCUGCCGCCGCUUCACGGCAUUGAGCUGUAAAUCGAGCGACAUGUUCGACUGUAUUUUCGGUCUCAUAGCCGAAAAAUUUGUCAAAUUUCGGCAUCUUCGAAUUUGCCGGAUAUGGAUGUUCUACAUCUAUAUUAGCAGGAUAUGGUGAUCUGAAUAUAGGCCGCAUUGCCAGCCUUGUGCCUACUCCGAAAGUAUUCCGGAUAGCUUCUUCUAUUUGUGCAUAUAUCUCAUUAUUAAUUCCCUGCAAAGGGGCUUGCGCUGGCACUGGGUUCGGUGGUUGUUGAACACCAAGAUUCUGUACUAAGGGGUUAACCCCUUGUACAUUCGGAGCCUGCCCCCUAGCCCCUACAUUUUGGGGCUGGUAGGCUGCAACUGGAGGGGGUGGAGGUAACCCCCAAGCCACUUCCGGCUGUUGACCGGUGUUACCAACAACCGGUCUAUAAGCCGCUUGAUACUGUGCCCCAUGGUAUUGGGGCUGACCAACUGCCGGUAUUACUGGAUUCUGUAACACCGGUGUUAUCACAGGCGCUUGUAGGCCUGCUAUCGGCUGUUCAUUCCGAGCUAACAACUGUCCUAUUCGGGCUAUAUUCUCGUUAGAGGCCGUGAUUGCUGCCAAAAUGGCAUCCAACUGUGCAGUACUCGCAUGACUAUUUUGGUCCAAAGUUUGUAGGACCCGAGUCAUUUAACCGAGCGCCUGGGUCAAACUAGGCUCAUGUUGGCCAGAUUGACCACUUGUUUCACCCUCAGCGGGCAAGACUGCUUGGCGCUCUAUCAUACUUUCUGAAUUACUGGGCUGUUCACUCCCAGAAUUUCUAGGGAUAGCCCUAUUACGAAGAUUUAUGGCGUUAUCAUCAGCCAUGCUUUAUAUAAAAUGCAAAUUUACCUUAAAUGUGUGAGUCCCACCGGGCGUGCCAAAAAAUUGUUGGUGGCCGAAAGUCCCGACCCUUGACCCGGUCAAGUAUUCUCCUCGGGAAGAGCGUCGGGAUGAUGAGCGGCCGCGGAUGAUGACCCUCGAAGUUUGCGCCCACGACGGAUCAAGUGAUUCGGCCGAUGAGGGAUCGAAUCAGCCGGGUUCGAAGACCUCUGCAGUAAACUCGCUUCGGCAGGAUGAACCGAAUGGAGAGGGAAAGCCCAGAAUUCGACUGAGAGAUGAGCCGAAUGGCUAGACAACUCGAGAUUUGAUCGGCAGGAAGAGUCGAUGAAAUGACUUUCUAUUGAAUAGCAAAUGGGAAAAAGUACAAGCACAGGAGAGUAAUGCCCGUAGGGCAGACAGACUCCAAGUAUGAGAACAGGGGAGUGAUGCCCGUAGGGCAGACAGACUCCGAGUAUGCUAGAUUACAGGAACUACUUCUAAGGAAAGCGGUAAAUGCGAGAAUAGAAAGAUCCAGGAAAAUAAAGAUAGUCUUUUGUGCGCAGGGGCGAAGACCCUUUUUCAGGGUAUCGUAUGCCUAUUUAUAGAACCGCCCUUGCGUUAGUUAUUGCUCUUGCACGAUCAGCCACUAUCUCCUGAUUCGUAGAACCAUCUUCGGCCGAUCGGAACCGCUCAUAACCGCUUGCGGUUGCUACGCUUUUUGAACAGACGCGGCUCAUAGCUUCUGGCGCGUCUUGUAUACUCCUGGUCCACCAUUUUGACAUGGGUCAUGGACGUAGCCCUGGCUUGCCAGCUGUCCGCACCGAAUUGGCUCAACAAUUUUCAUACUGGAUUCAAACUAUUAGUACUUUCUUAAAAAAGAUAUACUAAUCUUUAACAAUAUGUCAACCCAAAUGAUUCCAUAAGUUUGUAACAAACUCGACAUUUCAAAUAUAAAAUAUAAAAUAUUUUCGAAAUAUUACAAAUUUUAAACCAAAAGAUCCUAAAUAUAAUACGAAAAUUUAGCUCAUUAAUUAGUGAAGGCGGGGAUCUAAUUCAUUAACUUGGCUUUGGUAAAAUUAUUGCUAGUUUUCAAAAAUAAUUUUUAAUAUUUUAUAUUCAACAUUUAUCCUCAUAUUUUAUUUGAGACUUUUUGCUAGAUCAAACAUGUGGAUUUGAACUAAAUGAGAGAAAAUUAAAUAAAGCUAAGAACAUGCUAAAAUUCGAAUCAAGACUUUACAUUUUGAUAUAUACUAUGUUUUUCGAAAAAAAAAAAAUGCUACUACUAGCUACUCCUGCCUUCGACUAGAAUACUUGUCUUUCGAAAAUCGCCUGAUAGUUGGAAGAUAUAAUAUUGUUGUUCUUGUGAAAGAGGGGACUUUACUCUAAUGAUCUGUGCAGUACAAAUCAGAAUUCGACUUUUCUUAUAAGCUCAAAUUUUAUUUGAAAAUUGAAUUGUGAUAACUUAAUUCUAAUAAUUUCGACCGGUCCUUCAAAAAAAAUUCAAAACAGAAUCCUGUUAAAUUGGCUGAAUUUUUUUUUUUAGAGAGAAAGAUAACAUGCUAUCCACUUCGUUUAUUUCAUUUAGAAAUAAAUUUAGCUGGAAAUGUGAAUCAACUAGGAUUCGAAUUUGGAUCUCGGGUACUAAUCAUUAAGCCCUUUUGCCACUUGCACUAGGAACGGUCGGUAUUGGCUGAAAUAUUAUGCUAACAACUAUACACAUGUAUGUUUAGAAAUUUUAGAGAGUUUUUUAUGUGUUUUUUUAAUUUUCUCUUUUGAAAAGUUAUUGUAGAAAAAUUUCCAUAGUGAGAGAGAACAUUUUCCUAUACGUUACAAGACGUUCAAGUCACGUUCUAAUUGGAACUUCAGAAACAAACUAAAAGCCAUUAUUAGCUGUCUAGAUAAUGACGGACAGGUCAAUAUAAAAGUCAGUGAAUGUACUUAAUUACUCUCGGCGAUAUAACUUUCAAAAUCUAACCAACAUUUCAUAUGGUUAAGGGGCCGUUUGGUCCACGUAAAAUUAUAAAAAAUAAUUUUUGAUGAAAAAAAAAAAUUCAAAAAAAAUAAAUUUUACGCUUGUGUUUGAUUUGUACGAAAAAAAAAAAAUUAUCACGAUUGUAUAAUUGAAAUAAAAAUGAAAGAAAAAGAUAAAUAAAAAAAUAUUAUAUAUAUUUUUUCCUAUUCAAUAUAUUAAAUAUUAUUAAUAUAUAAUAAUUAUCAUACUAUAUAUAUUAGAAAAAAUGAAUUAAAAAAAUAUUUGUACAUUCUUUUUGGUCAUUUGAAAAAUUAAAUUUGUUUUAUUAAUUUAUUUAUAUAUAUAUUGUAUUAUUUAACAAGUAUUAAAAUCUAUGCAAUAUUACAAUAUCAUAGUUUAUUAAUAGGUAAUAUGUUAAUAAAAAUAUAUUAAAUUUAUAUGUAAUAUAUAUUAUUCGUAUUAUCAUAUUACAAUACAUUACAAAUAUAAUAUAUAUUUAAUAUUAUUAAAUUUUUAUAAUAGUGCAAUCAUUACGUGGCUUUUGGUUUGGGCAAUUCAUGCCGUUCAUGAGGUUGGAUGCUUCCUCGUGGACCGUAUGGGAUUUUUGUGCAUAGACUUGGUAUGCCGUGUUUUUGGGUGCAAAAGUUUUUAUUUUUUGAUUGGUUUGAGCGGAAAAUAAAAAGAUGAUUUUUUUGAGAAUCUGUAAAAUUAUUUUACAAAAAAUCUCUUUUACAAGCAACCAAAUAACUGAAAAUAGAUUUUUCAAACUGAAAAUAAUUUUCGUCCUGCUUUUAUAGCAAAUCAAACACUCGCUAACUGAUUGUCUCUUUACAGAAAAGUGAGUUUGACGAGAGCCAUUGUGAAAAAUUUAGGCACCAUAAUUAUGCCCUAACCGCUACUUAAAUGAUGGAAAUUUAACCGAUUUAAUAUAAUGGUGUGAGAUAAGAGAUAAAAAUUUAACUUACUAGAUAGAAUACGAAAAUUUAAUCCAUUAAAUAUUUUAGGUAGAAAUCAAAUUAGUGACCUGAGGUUCAAAUAUCAAAAGAAUCAUAUCUUUAAUAUUUUAUAUUCAAUACUUUUCUCAUGUGAAUUCAAAUAAUUUUAUAGGUGCAAAAUAUAAAGUUGAUAAAUAAGAAAAAAUUAAAUAAAGUUAGGAACUAAACAAGAUUCAAACUUAGAAUUUAGUGUUCUAAUACUGUAUUUUCUGGAAUAAAUAUAUAAUGUAGAAUUUCAACCCAUGAGAUUUUGGAAGUAGGGAUUGAACUAACAAACGCAUGAAACAUAUAGAAUGAAGGAUAGUAUAGACUUUGAAUCCGAACUUAUACAUGUUAUUACAAAUGGAGGAAAAAUACUUACCUUAGCCCCUGUUGGAUGCCGAAUUUUCCAACCCUUGACCCGGUCAAAGAUUCUCCUCGGAAAGCGCGUCGGGGUGAGGAACGGCUGCGGAUAGUGCCCUCGAAGUUUGCGCCCUACGACAGAUCAAGUGAUUCGGCUGACGAGGGAUCGAGCCAGCCGGAUCCGAAAAUCUUCACUAUAAAACUGGUUCAGCUGGAGGAGCCGAAUGUAUAAACUGUGCAGGUAUCAAUGUCGGCAGAAGAGCCGAAUGGAAGAAGUACACAGUAACUGGUCGGCUGAAAGAGCCGAAUAAAUUAAAUACACAAUGACUGGUCGGCUGAAAAAGCCGAAUGCCUAAAUAUAUAUUUAAUAAUAAAAAAGAGUGUGCCCGAAUGACAUACAGACUCAGAAAUAUAGUUUACAAUAUAGUGAUGCCCGUGGGGCAGACAGACUCCAGAGUUCUACUUAGCGAACUACUCCUAGGAAAGCAGUAAAUGCGGAAAAAAAAAAAUUACAUUUAAACUAUUCCUAGAAAAAUAAUAAAAUGCAGAGGAAAUAAGGAUGGUCUUCUCAUUCAGGAUGAAGAAAGACCCCUAUUGCAGGUUUUGAAAUUACUAUUUAUAGUAACAUCAACCCACAUUAUUGAUUGGUUAGGGGAGUGGUUGUAACCAUGAUCGUGGAAGUUACGCCCCACUUUCAUGGAAGUUACGUCCCACUUCACAUGAAAGUUAUGCCCCACUUCGCAUGAAAGUUACGCCCCACUUCUCAACAGUUCCCGCCCAAAACCUUCAGGCGCCUUAUUGCCGACUUCUGGUGUAUCACGUGUCCUUAUUGACUCAUACGUGAGUUAAGUCGGUAUGUUAAUUUCAAUUUUGGCAUCGACAGCCCCGUUUGGAUAUCUCUAAAAACGUAGCAUAAUUAAACUAUACUAUACUGAUAGAAAAAUUAUCCUAUGAAGCGUUUGAAAGAAAAUUUUAUAAUUUAAUUUAUAUUCAAAUUUUUAAAUUCAAAUUUUAAAAUUUGAAUUUUAAAUUUUAAAUAUCAAAAGUUUAAAUUUUAUAAUUUCAAAAUUUAAAUGUCAAAUUUUAAAUUUUAAAUUUUCUAAUUCUAUAAAUUCAAAUUUUAAUUUUUGAAUAUCAAAUUUUACAUUUUAGUUUUCAAAUAAUAAAUUUCAAAUUUUAAAAUUUCUAAUUUAUAAUUUAAAUUUUUAAUUCUCAAAUUUCAUUUGGAUCAAAACUACAGUUUAUAAAUUUCGUGAAAAUUUUUUACUGUACAUCCAAACAGGCCCUAAAUGUUUUUUUUGAUCUAACUAGAGUUUCUAUAAAAAUUUUUUGAUAAAGUCAAAGUUUUUGAUCCAUGCUNUUUUUUUACUUUUAAAUUUUAAAUUUUAAAUUUUAAAUUUUAAUUUUUUAUUUUAAAAUUUUAAAUUUCAAAUUUUUAAAAAUUAAAUUUAGAUUUUUAUUAUUUUAAUUUUUAAUUUCAAAUUUCACAUAUCAAAUUUUAAAUUUUAAAUUUUCAUUGAAAUUUUAAAUUUUAAAUUUUAACUUUUAAUUUUAAAAUUUAGAGAAAUCCCGUAAAAUUGUACAUUGCGUAUCCAAACAAUUUAAAAUUUGUAUCCGUGGAAUUUUUUAGAGUUACAGGAUUUCCUAUUUUAUUUAGAACGAAACUGCAGUUUAUAAAUUCCGUGGAUUCAAUUUAUGAAUUAUAUUCUAGAAACUUAAAAAUAUUGGUGCCAUCAGGUAGUCCUGUUGCAUCUUCUCUAGGAAUUGAGAUAGCGAUGUAGUAGUACCACCUGUAUAUUUUGACUAUAUUUUCAAGUAGUACUUCUGUACAAGUUGACGGAAGGAUUCAAAUGCUAGCCCAUCAAAUAUUAAAAUUGAUCAAAAUUUCUCAGUGAGCACCAAUAAAAAUAUGUAAUUUUUUUUUUCUACCACAUGCUCAAUGCCCCAGCAGGCAGGAAGUUUUAAUCUUUAUUCUAUUGCUUUAACUUUCAUUUGAGACUGUAUUGUGAUUAUUGACUAACCACAUAUUAUUCUCCAUUUACAUCAAAUCAAAUAAUCUGUGUCAGGUUUUGUACAUUAAGUCGGUCCUAUUUGGCCUCUAUUUAUUACCCUUUUAAAUUUUAUUUUAUAGUAUUUUACCCUUAUUUUUUGGCGCUAGCAUUGACUUCAAGUCAACAUAUGAUAGCUCCAAAUUUUGUGUCCCAUAAAUGAAGAGUUAUUGGAAAGUGAAUAAUAUGUGAGUACUGUAUAAAUUUUAAAUUUUGCUUAAAAUAGGGUUUUUCUUAUAAUUCUUUUUGUUACUUUAGGCGAGUAUUAUAAUUUUUUUAGUUAUUCUCGGCUCGAUCCGUAUAUUUAAGAUUAUUUAAUAAAGAUGAAUAUAUUUUAUUUUUAACUUUACUGAUAAUUUAUUAUUUUUAAAUUUUUACUUUAGUAGCAUCUAUCCGCUUCAAUGUGCAAGUCAUUUCAUAAUUGAUUUUUAAAAAAUAUUUGACUUGGGCCAGAAAAAAGAAUAAGACAAAUGAAUCUCUUUAUUUGAUUAGCUAAAUGUGAAUUUGAGCCUCUUCAGUGUGCCCUUUAAUAUUUGUUAUCUUUUCCUUGUAUAUUCCAAAUAUUUCUUCACCAUAUUUAUAUAAUAAUUUUUUUCUUCUAUAGUUUUUUUCUUUCUUUUCGAUNAAGAAUAAGACAAAUGAAUCUCUUUAUUUGAUUAGCUAAAUGUGAAUUUGAGCCUCUUCAGUGUGCCCUUUAAUAUUUGUUAUCUUUUCCUUGUAGAAUAAAAAUAUUUCUUCACCAUAUUUAUAUAAUAAUUUUUUUCUUCUAUAGUUUUUUUCUUUCUUUUCGAUUUCUUUUAUUAUGUUAUGGUGAGUUGUAAUUUCAUUAUAAACGUCUCUAAUAUGUUUUUUAUAUUGUUAAAUCUGAUUAAUAUGGUUAUAUUUUUUUGUUUCUUCUUUACGUUUAUAUUUAUUUAUUAAAAUAUUUUUAUUCAUCGUAUUGCACGGGUCACUAUACUGUACCGUCCUAGGAAGGACCUCGGGUUGACUACAGUGUCAAGUCCAGUACGCGUUACACAAGACUUUUAAGUCGAGUCCAAAUUGGCAACCUUAGGACCAAAUUAAGCCAUUACCUCUCUAGAUAAAAACAAACGAGUCACUGAAAACGUGAAUGUACUUAUUUUCCACAAAUCACUCCAAAUUUGGACUCCAAAAUCAAACCGACAUUCAUUGCGACUGCGCAGUUUGUCGGUCUACCGAAUUGUGGACUUUGAAAAGAAAUAUGGUGAAAAAUUAAGUUGAACCAUGACUGUAGAAAAAUAAUUAGAGCCAAAUUUUUUUUAUUUAGGGUGCAUUUGGUUCGAGCUAUCUUUUUAAGAUUUCUAAUAAUUCAGUAGGAAUAAAAAAAUACAACGAUAUUUGACUAAACGUACUAAGUAAUUUAGUUGGUAAUUCUGGAUUUACUUGAAAAUGAGAUUUAUUCCAAAAUUCUUAUCCCAUUUCUUUGAAAGAAUGUGAGUAUCCUCAUAUUAAUAGAUUAGAAUAAUCAUAAUAUGUCAAAUUUUUUUCUUUAUUGUUUUUCUCUACUCUCUAACCUCACAUCUCUCUUUAAGCUUGUCUUUCUCUUUCUAAAUUUUAACUCUCUUUCUCUCUCUAAGCUAAGAUCUCUCUCUCCUAUUUUUUCUAAAAUCUCAAUUCUCUCACUCUCUUUAAUUUUGGCUCUAUCUUUCUCCCUAUUUCUUUGAUUAUACUCUCUCUAAUCUAUGUUCUCUCUAUUUUUUUCUAAAAAGAUGUUGAAAUUUUUUAUAGCAUUAUCUGAAACUAAUUAAUAAAACAAAUAUAUUAAUUAUACUUUUUUAAUCUUAAAUAAUCUGACUUAAUAAUAUGACAGUACGAAUCAAAUAUCGGAAUGCCACAUUCUUAAUAAUAAAAUGAAUAAAAGUAAAAUUUUUGAACAUUCUUUUAUUUCUAGUAAUCAUUCAUAGUGCAAACCAAAUACGCCCUUAAGGUAAGAUACACUAUAUAUAAAAGCUACUGCUUAAGAGUACCGCUGCCAAAGAAUAUACUCCUACCUUGGACUAGAAUACUAACCAAUUAAAUAUAACUAGUGAAGACCCGCGCUACGCAGCGAGAAAUUUAGAUAAAUUUUAAAAAUUUUAAACUAUAUAGUAAAUAGCACCGAAACGGAUUAAAAUUUAAUUUUUAAAUUUAUUUUUUUAAUUUUUGAAUGGGAUCUAAAAUUAUACGAAACAAAACAAAAAAGAUUAGAAAAGAGAGGGAAAAGGGAAAAAAAAUAUUAGAAGAGGAAAGGAAAAAAAAAGAGAGGGAGGAGUGGGUCAACAGGUACAAAAAUAGCGAAAAAUUUAUAUAAAUUACUAUAUAUAAUGAAAUAAAUAAUUUAAGAAAUAAAUAUUAAAUUAUAUAAAUAUUAAUAAUAUAAUGCAUAUUAUAAACAAUAUAUACUAUAUAUACUAAUAUAUAUUUAUAAUAUAAUAAUAUUAUAUAUAUAUAUAUAAUAUAUAUAUAUAUAUAUAUAUAUAUAUAUAUAAUAUAUAUAUAUAUAUAUAUAUAUAAAAGAGAGAGAAUGAUAGGGAGGUCGGCGCGCCCAGCGCCGCGCCGCCCCCGUGCCCCCCGCCCCGCCUCCGCCCUCGCGCAGACCCGCCGCACGGCUUCGCCCCACGGCGCCUGCCCGCGCCCAGCUCCGCGACCCAUCCGCCGCCCCCCCCCGCCGCCCGCCUCCGCCUUCACGCAGCCCAUCCGCCACGGGAGAGGGGAAGAGAGGGAGAGAAGAAAGAGAGUCGAUGGGAGGGAGAGGAAAAGAAUGACGGGGGGAGAGAGGAAGAGAUCCGGGGGGGAGGGGGGAUAAGAGGGGAAGAGAGGGGGAGACCUGCGCCCGCACCCGCCGGGCGCGGGUCGCCCGCACCCGCACCCGCGCCCGCACCCGCCGGGCGCGGGUUGCGCGCUCGUGGGGAGGAGAGAGAGGUGGGGAGCCGGGGUCUCUCUCUCUCCCUCUGCUCUCUCUCUCUCUGUUGCCCCCUCUCUCCUUCUGCUCUCCCCCCUCUCUCUCUCUCUCUCUCCCUCUCUCACUUGUGGGGCCUGCCAUAUGUGGGAGGCCCGCACCCCCCGCACGCGCUCUCUCUCUCUCCCUCUCUCUGCUCGCACUCUCUCUCCCUCUGUUCUCUCUCUCCCCCUCUCUCUGUAUACUCUCUCUCUUUCCUCCCUCUGUUCUCUCUCUCUCCCCCUCUCUCUCUCUCUCGCGAGGCCCCCGCAAAACGCGGGGAGCUCGCCGUAGGAACUCUCGAUUCAAGAGUUAUAUAGAUAUAGAUGGUGUGAGGUAAGAGAAAAAUUUAACUUACCGGAUAUACUACGAAAAUUCAACCCAUUAAAUUUAGGGUUAAUUGUAUACAGGAUUUCGCAAACCAUGGUUAGUUAAUUCGCGAAUAAUUCGCAAAUUAUUCGCAAAUUUUUGAAGAUACGAAUUAAACAGCCGUUUUCGUAUUUUUUUUCAAAAAAAUCGAAAAAAAAAUGCGUUUUUUUCGUCAAAAAUAAUUAUUCGCGAAUUAUUCGCGAUUCGCGAAUGAUUCGCCCAAAAAACCGGUGCUCGUGGGUGUGGACUCGCGGCCGCGGGUCACGUCGUCACCACUCACGCCGCCGAACUCGUCCGUGUCGUCGUCGUCAUCCUCCUCCGCCGCCCUGGCCGGCGCCGNAUAUAUAUAUAUAUAUAUAUAUAUAUAUAUAUAGUUGAGAUAGAAUACUAUCGAUAGCAAACGAGCUUCGUUGCCGCCCAUUUGUUUUUGAUGAUGAAGCCUUCAAAUCGACGAUUGACAUAGUUGAACAUGAUCUAUACCGCUUGAAGUGUUUAGAAAUCAAAUUUCAUAUAUUUCCAAUAUUGUUUUCUUAUCCAUCGAGUGGACACAAAAAUGAACGAUUGAAAAUAAAUUUUCUUUAAAAAAUGAUGAUAUGUAAUAACCGAGAUUUCUAGUAAUAAAAAUUAAACCCUUUGUUGACAAUGUUUUUAUGUGUAAUAUAAUUACAUAAGCACUCAUCAAAUUUUAGGUGAAAACGAGUUAAGAUGGAGAAGUUAUACGACUUGAACAGAUAACUUAAAGUGAAUAGUAACUCCGGCUUUCCGGAGAAGCCAGUGAGUAGAAGACGGUUCUGGUGCGCAUUGGACUCCGAUCAUAGCGCUCCAAUAGCUCGUUUCGAACGGUUCGACCAUUCUGGACCCAAUGACACUGACGAAAUUGGAUUCUGAUGCACGGUUGUCGAGAAAAAGGGGUUUGAUUGGUUUCACAUGUAGUAAUAUAAGUGGCUACAUAGUGAAAACAAAAGAGGGAUGGUUUUGACGCAAAUCGAAAACCAAAUCGGAUAAAGUAAGAUGCUAGAUUCGAUGCCCCAGUCGUGCUGAACGCGCUGGGGCAAUCCGUUCGGAAAUCCGAUGGACGGAUCUUCGAAAAUCGUGAAAAGUCCGCUGAGAGGUCAAUUUGGCAAAAUCAAUUAAUCGCAAAAGGACCCUAUAUUUUAUGCGCCGUUUCACGAGAUUUCGAAUGUCGAGGGGCUGGCAUGCAAGUUACACAUGCGGGCAGGGGCAGGAUUAUAAUUAUUUGACUUUGAAGGGGUUCCUCGCAAAAUGACACCUUGUAUAAAAGUGGCGUCUAGGGUUUUCCAUGGUUCUUUGGCUGCCUACGUUCACCUAGCUAACCCUAGCCGCCCCACCUACACCUUGCCCUGCCUAUACGCACACCCGGACUGCCGGUGAGCAGCUACGGCCGCCGGAAAAGCCACCCCGGCCUCCCAUCAACUCCUCGUUAGACCCACCUCGCCACCAGCUCAGUUGUUGUGCUCGGGGAGGCAUCAAAGCCCGAGCUUCAACAUCCCCUGGCUGAGGCCCAUCCCUAGCGCCGUCCCCGCCGGCCUCCGCCGUCCCCGCGCGCCGUCGGAGCCACCCUAGCUCCCUACGGCUAGCUGCAGUCACCCAGGCUGAGUCUAGGUGAUCUCUGCCUUCGCGCGCCGCCGCUGCUCCCCGCCGCCGCUCCCCGCCGGCCGCGCCGCCCUCGCAUCUCUGGCGACCUCCCGCUCGCCAUCCCGGCCAUCCCCGUGGACCGCCGGCCGCCGCUUGUGCACCUUGCAGCCGCCCUGGGUUGGUGCGGGCCGAGGCCGAGUCACCACGACCACCGUGCGUCGCCGCCGCCCGCUGCGGGGCGCACCGCUUUUCCAUCAGCCUUCGCCGACGGAUCGCAGUCGCCCCGAGCUCCUCCGGCUGCCACCUCGCCACCAAGAGCCCUUGAACCCAAAAGCUAUUGGCGGAAUUGAUCUCCUCCGCCGCGCCACUGGUUGCCUCCCGUUGCCGACCGGCGCCUGCCCCGGACCCCUCCGACUGGCCGCACCAUUCCCCGACCCGAACGCCCGUCGUCCGACCGCCGGCGACCAUCCUAGCUCCCUCGGGUCUGGUAAGCAGUAAAUUAGUCUAUAGCGUACUGUUUGAGGGUUCCGGUCACCUUUCCGGUGAUCCAAUGACUCCCCGACACCCCGAAAAGUGAGCACGAUGAUCUAUGAUUCGUGCUGAACAUCGUGCCCACCUCCGACAAGGACAGAGAUGCCCUGGAUUGUGCAUUAAUGGCAAUCUUACCGUUGUGCGCGCUGUUUCACUGAGUUUCGUGUCGCUCGUGCGCGUGCCACAGUGGCCGGCAGUUCUCCAAAAGGUGAGCAUGGCCUCCGGCACGCUGAAACCUAUCAGCGAGCGUGACGGUUUGCCGAAUCUAUCUCUGGUUUGUGUGCACAGUCCAGAAAAGCCUAGAAAUCACAUAAAAUGAUGUGAUUUCAUAUAUCGGUAAGGGCUUUUAGGGUUUUUGCUUCGAUGUAGCUGAUGUUGGCAGCAAGGGUAGGCUGAGAAUAACCUCUGGACUGAUCGUCCAAGGCCCCAAUCCUUUGCGAAAAUCGAAAAGUGAUUUUCGGGGCGUUUUUCGGCGAAAUCCGCCAAUAGAACACGUCUUCGAUUCAGAAUUCAUCCGACGGCGCCUCGUGGUUGAUUGUAGUGUCACUAAGCCUUGUUGGCUUGUCACCCGUGUCGUUUCGAGGGUCCAGAAACGACGGCUGAGCGACGGCGGAUUCCGGUGCCGAAAUAGACACUUCCGGAAACCCGAAUCGGAACGAUUAUCGACGAUAAUCGUUCCGCAUCGUGGUAGCGUCUUUGCUGCCUUGUCACACUAAAAUAGGUGUUUAGCGGCAGCGAGCAACUCAUAUGAUGAGUUGGGUAGUUCCGGGACGGUUCGUGGGUCCCGGCGGAGUCCCGGUGCAGUUUUUUUGUAACUUCUGGUGAGUUCGGCAAUCGGUUUUGGGAAACCGAUUCCCGAGGGGCUAUGAUUGUGGGAUUGUGAGUUAGCGAUAUGUGUUAGUGGGUUAGGUUCUAACCCGGUGGACUUUUCGUAGGUUCGGUUGCACCGUCUUCACAGUCGAUAGAUUUUCGUCAGACACGUACAGGUGGGUACUUCGAUCCGACGUCGGUACAGUGGUGCACGCUCGGUGACGUUUCCUUUACCCUUGUUGUUUAUAUCAUUUACCUUAUACAUGUUGAGCCUUGCACCCAUGCUAUUUCCUUAUUUACUCUACUUAGUUGUUUCCAGGUAUAGUAUCAUGUGUAGGAGUGGAGUAGACUUUAUCUGUAUAUGAUAUCUGUGACCUGGUCGGUCGGUUCUCCUAUUUGCAUCUGUGACCUGGUUGGUCGGUUCUCCUAUUUGCAUCUAUGAUUUGGUUGGUCUGUUCUCCUAUAUGAUCUCCAUGACCUGGUUGGUAGACGUUGCAUCUCCUAUACUUAUGACCUAGUUGGUUGAUUUGAUUACAUGAUGACCCAUGUGGUUGGUGUGCCCUGGGGGGCAGGAUUGUCGGCUGGUUGCCGACGGUUGAUCAUUGAGCAUAUUGCAUUGAUCGCCCGAUACUCGUCGCAUUUCACGAACACUGGCAGUCUGAUCCACCGCAAGAGGUGUUCUUUUCCGAAAAAGUGGUUGCAGGUGUCAACCCGUGAGCCCUAGAGGGGUUAUAUGCAUGGUAGAGUAGUAGUGGCACUGGCUUAAGGUUUGCGGUGCGGACCAAGAGAGCAUUGGUUUCAGAUUAGGUACUUUUGGACUGAUUGUCCCGUUGAUGCAUGCAUACAAUAGCUGUAGUGGUUUAUCUAUACACAUUUCAUUACUUGUUUAUCUUAGCUACUGUACUACCAUUAUCCAUAUCCUUGUUUAUCUCCGUGACUAGUGAGUACCCCUCGCCCUCGUCGGCUUGCGGUACCCACUGGGAGGGGAGAUAUGUUUACAUAUUCUCACCCCCCGCCCCUAUUACAGGUGACGUCGCAGGUCCGAGUGGGACAGCUGGUGAGGAGCGUGUCUAGCGUACGAUAGAGCUCCGUCCCGUGUCGGUUAUUCCUUUACCCUUCAUGCUUGAAUAAAUAACUUAGACAUAUUAUGGUUCAGUUUUGUUAUAUUAUUUGAAUAUCCGAGUUUUCAGUUGGAUUUAUGAUGUAAUAAAAAGGAUUUGUGGAUUUCAAAUGUUGAAUGAUUUUCUACCCCUCGUGGUAGCGUUUCUAAAAGAUAAAAGUUCCCGUGUAGGGAACAGUUUUUAAAAGGGUUUUCUAUGGAUUUGGUAUCUUAGUAUUUCAAAACCUGUUUCUGGGUUGGAAACGUUUUAACUGAUAGAUGUAGAUUUAUGUUUAAAUAUUGAAUGUAUAACUGUGAUGUGAAUGGUGAAUGAAUGAUCGUAUAGUUGUUUCUAUAUUCAUUUAGUUGUGAUUGUUUCCUGUUUACUUGUUGUACUUGUGCGACGCCGUGCAAAUAUAGGGGAGACUCUAUCUGUGUGACCAGUGAACUUUCUGUAUUUGUGGCAGAUCUGGCAUACCCUGGGGUCAGAUCUUUAAAAAAAAAAAUUUCUAGCUAUUUUCGCUGUGUUUUCAAACAAAAUGGACCCCGGGGCGUGACAUGAUAGGAGUUUUGUAAUUAAGAUCAAGAGUAUAGAUCUUGUUUUAAAUAGUUUAAAGAAUUUUCUAAAAAAAAUUUAAUUGAUUUGGAUAUCUUUACGCCGUUAAACGAGAAAAUGCUCAUAUCGACCAUUAAAAUUACAAAUUUUGAAACCCUUUGAUCAUUAGGCAAAUGAUGUCGAAAGAUUUGAAAUUUGAUUUCUAAACACUUCAAGUGGUACAGAUCAUGUUCAACGGUGCCGAUCAUCGAUUUGGAGGCUCAAUCAUCGAAAACAAAUGGGUGGCAACGAAGUCCGUUUGCUAUCGAUAGUAUUCUAGCUCAACUCUCUCUCUCUCUCUCUAUAUAUAUAUAUAUACAUAUAUACAUACAUACAUACAUACAUACAUAUGUGUAUGUAUGUAUGUAUGUAUGUAUGUAUGUAUGUAUGUACAUACAUACAUACAUACAUACAUACAUACAUACAUAUAUAAUAACAUACAAUGUUAUGUAUGAUAUAUAUAUACAUACAUACAUACAUAUAUUAUACAUACAUACAUGUAUGUAUGUAUAUAUGUAGUAGUGUAUGUAUAUAUAUAUAUAUAUAUAUAUAUAUAUAUAAUAUCAAUAUAUAAUAUAUAUAUGAUAAUAUAUAUAUAUAUAUAUUAUAUAUAUAUAAAGGGUGGAAAUGGAGUAUAGGGAGACAACUAUUUAUAAAAGUUAGUAACCGGACUUCUAUAUUAUAAUAUAUAUAGAGAGAGAGAGAGAGAGAAGAGAGAGAGAGAGAGAGAGAGAGGACGUCGGCUACUUAUACUCUUAUGAGUACGAUCGCCCUCGUACUCAUUAAGUUGUUUUCGAUGAUAGAAAACUUCCAAAUGACGAUAUACCGUUAAAAUAUCUAGACCAUUUAAAACUUCUAUUAAAUUAAAUUUAUAAUUUUCGAUAUCAUUUACCUUACGAUGGUCAAACGGUACAAAAUUGACAAUUUUUUAACGCGGUAUGAGAUAUUUGGAUAAGCAUUAACGGUGAAAAAGGAAUCGAAAUAGGUUGAAUUUUUGAUAAAAUUUUAUUCACUGACCUAAUAAAGUCAAUAACUCCGAUCUUAAAUUGAAGGAUCCGAUCAUUCAUUUUUAGGAUGUCAUUCGUUUAACCGUCAUUUUAUACUCGCUGAUGACUUAUAAUUGAUUUCGAAAUUUAUGAAUUUAUUGUCUAGAAGUUUUAAAUACUCAGAUCUGUUUAACGCGCCGUCUGUGGAUCGUCGAUCAAAAACUCCCAACAUCGAAACAACUUAUGAGUAGUAAGGUUCUUAUACUCAUAAGAGUAUAGUAGCCCUACUCUCUCUUUUCUCUCUUCUCUCUCUCUCUCUUUCUCUCUCUCUCUCUUAUCUAUCUAUCUAUCUAUCUAUCUAUUAUCUAUAUAUAUAAUAAAUAUAUAUAUAUAUAUAUAUAUAUAUAUUAUAUAUAUAUAUAUUCAUUUAUUAUAUAUAGUAUUUUAUUUUUAUAUAAAAAUAUUAUUAUAUAAUAUUUUAUUUAUAAAUUUAUAAUUAUUUAUUAAUAUUUCUAAAUAUAUAACUCUUAUAUAUUAUUAAUAUAUAUUUAUUAUAAUUUUAAAUAUAUUUAAUCUAUAUAUAAAAAUUAUAAUAAUAAUAUAUGUAGUAUAUUAAUUAUUAUAUAUUUAUUAUAUAGCCAAAUUUUUUAUCCCUAAUUUUUAAUUGGUGAAUGUAUAAUAUCCGUAUAAAUCACGUAUCUGAAUAGUUGCCGAAUCCGUUUUUUAGUCGUAUUUUUCAACGAAUUUGAAAAUUAAAAGAUGAAUUUUAUCUAAAUUAUACCCGUACUGAAUUUUUGUCGAAUCCGAAUUAACUAUGCCGCAAACAUGGUGAAUAGCAGAUAUAUUCCUGCAAAGUUCAACUUUCAUAAGUUAUCCCUGCAAAAGUCCUAAUGUAUUCAGAUAUGUUCCUGCCGUUAGGUUCCGUUAAAGAAAUUUAAUUAACCACGGUUAAAAUGCUUUACCAUAGUUAAUUAAUAAGGUAAAUUGACAAUUUUACCAUUCUUCUUCUUCCUCUUCCUCUUCAUCUUCUUUCUCUUCCUCUUCCCCUUCUUCUUCUUCUUCUUCUUCCUUCUCCUUUUCCUCAUCUUUCUUCGAAUCGGCCGCAUCUUCGCCCUCUGCCUCGUCGCUGCGGGCCUCAGCCUUGUCCUAGUCGGCCGCAACUCCGACAAGCUCCAUGCCACUGCCGCCACCGCCGCCACCCGCUUUGGCAGCCUGAAAAGGAAGAGAAUGGAGAAAAGGGACAUUUGUGAGGGUAUUUUUGUAAAUAUAUACCAGCUGAAGCUUUUGGAAGGACAUAUUUGUGAGGGCAAAAAGGUCAUUUCACGAACCUACUGUUAAAAAAUAAACAGUUCUCUAACGGGUGCUAACCAGAGGGAUAUAUCUGAAUACAUUAGGACUUUUGUAGAGAUAACUUAUGAAAGUUGAACUUUGCAGGAAUAUAUUUGCAAUUCACUAUAUUUGCAGGGACCUGUAUGCAAUUAACCCUUAAAUUUACUAGGCAAAUAAAGUCAAAAAAUUACAAAAAUGAAAUCCUCCGUACUUUCAAAAAUAUAGUAGCAUAUAUAUAGAGAGAGAGAAUUAGUUUGGUAUACUAUUGGUAGCACGGAGGCCUCUGUGCUAAGUUUUUUCAAUGAUGCCGCUUCCAAAUUGAUGAUCGGCUCCAUUAAACUUGAUCUAUACUAUUGAAAGUAUUGAAAACAAAAUUUCAUAAUUUUUCGACAUUAAUUGACUAGUAAUAAAAAGGUCUCUAAAUUGAUAAUUUUAAUGGCCGAUGUGAUGCGUUUAUAAAUUUAACGGUAUAAAACAAUUCAAAUAUGAUGAAAUUUUUAUAAAUUUUUUUUUUUACUAUUUAGAGUAAGAUCAGUACCUCUGAUUUUAAAUUCAAGUCUUUUAUCAUUAUUUUUUAUAAGAUUUUUAUUUUCAAUCAUUCAUUUUUAGACUACUGGUUUGAUUGGUAAAUAAUGUCGAAAAAUUAUGAAAUUUAGUUUUUCCAAAAACUUUCAAUAGUGUAGAUCAAAUCUAACGAAGCCGAUCGUCGAUUGGGAAGCUGCAUCAUUGAAAACAACUUGGUAGUGUAGAGGCCUCCGUGCUACCGAUAGUAUAUUAGCCGGACUAUAGAGAGAGAGAGAGAGAGAGAGAGAGAGAGAGAGUUGAGCUGAAAUGCUAUAAGUAGCAAACGGGCUCCGUUGCCACUCAUUUGUUUUCGAUGAUAGAGCCUUCAAAUUGAUGAUUGACACUGUUGAACAUGAUUUAUACCAUUUGAAGUAUUUAGAAAUCAAAUUUCACAUCUUUUCGACAUCAUUGACCUAAUGAUCAAAGGGUUUUAAAAUUUGUAAUUUUAAUGGUCGAUAUGAGGCGUUUUCUCGUUUAACGAUGUAAAGUUAUCCAAAUCAAUUGAAUUUUGGUUAGAAAAUUCUUUAAACUAUUUAAAACAAAAUCUAUACUCUCGAUCUUGAUUACAAAAUUUCUAUCAUCACUUUUUAGAAGAUAUUCAUUUUCAACCGAUCAUUUUUACGCCCACUUAAUGAACAAGAGAAUAAUAUCGAAAAAGCAUGAAAUUUGAUUUCUAGAUAUUUCAAGUGGUAUAAAUCAUUUUCAAUGGUACCAAUCGUUGAUUUGGAGGCUCCAUCAUAAAAAACAAAAGGGUGGCAACGGAGUCCGUUUGCUACUGAUAGUAUUCCGACUCAACUAUAUAUAUAUAUAUAUAUAUAUAUAUUAUAUAUAUUAUAUAGUAUUAUAUACUAUUAUAUAUAUAUAAUAUAUAUUGUAUAUGUGGCGGGCAUAGUGAUGCUUAUGGAAGGCCACGGAGGGCUCCGAACCUUGCUUCCACUUUGUAUUUCAAUGUUCGGACUUUCGAAUCGACGCUGCGCUCGUUAGAACUUGAUCUAGAGUAUUUGAAGUUUCUAGAAAAUAAUUGGCCGAUUUUUUUGAUAUCAUUGCCUAGUGAUUCGAAGUGGCUCAAAAAUCAACGGCCUGGAAAAUAAAAAAUCUUACAAAAUAUGAUGCAUAUGACAUUAAAAAUUUAGAUCAAGUUAUUUGAUCUUGUUUAUGUAUAUGGUAUAAAGAAUUGUUCUUAUCAAAAUUUCCAUGUGAUUUGAUAUUUUACACAUUAAACUAUGCAACCGGCUCACCACGGCCGUUAAAAUUAUUGAUUUGCAGACCCCUUCGAUCACUAGCAAAUGAAAUCGAAAAUCGCAAAAUUUAUUUUUCUAGAGGCUUACUUUCAAAUAUCCUAUGAUCAACUCUAAUGGACGCACGUCGAUUCGAAAGGUCUGAAAUCGAAACAGCUGGAAGCACGGAGCGCCAUCGUCGCCUUCCAUAAGCCAUACCAGACACCUCUAUAUAUUAUUAUAUAGAGAGAGAGAAGAGAGAGAGUUAGGCUACGAUGCUAUUAGGAGCACAGUAAAAGGGGGCCCUUUGUGUCUAACUUUCUAAACCACCCAUCAAGUUUGAGGUGGUAUUGAAUGAGAGGGGAAGAAAUAUUGGAAAGAGAAAAUUAAGCGUGGUUUAAUUUCAUUUUGCUUCUGAAUUUCUCUUCAAUAUCUCUUACUCCCUUUUAUUCUAACACCAUCAAACUUGAUGGGGUAGUUAGAAAUUAGGAGCCACACAGGGCUGCUGUCCUCCUAUAGCCACAGUUAGCCCUGGCUUGAUAUAUAUAUAUAUAUAUAUAUAUAUAUAUAUAUAUAUAUAUGAGUAAUGCUUCUAUACUUUCUUUUUUUUCAUUACCGAUCAUUCCCUCCCAUUCAACGGUUCAGAUUUAAUUUUUUUUAAAUUGUGACCUGCAAUAGCAGGUCACUUUGGGAGAGGUACUAGUUACCAGAUAUCUCAAAAAAGAGUAUUUUUGUCUUUUAAUACAUGAGCAAUUUAGUCAUUUUAUCCCUAGUAUAUUAUCAAAAUUUUUAUUCUCUCUUUGUUUCUUUUUUUUCUCUCUAUCUUUCCUCUCAUAUUUUGACAUUUCAUAUAAAAAAAGUUUCAAAUUAUUUGACAAUAAGAACGUGAGAUUAUUUUGUGGACCAACUAUGGAUUUUGUCUAAAUAUCCAUCUUGAAUCCGACGCGAAUCAUAUAUAAAGUUUAAUAUUAUAUUCAAAUUUAUAUUUUAAAAUUUUAAAUUUAAUAUAAAAUAUUUUAAAAUAUGGUAAAAAGAAAUAAUUGUUUCGAGUUCCGGUUUUCGGGUUUGGGUUCGGUUUUGGGUUUCGAAAAAUUGAUCAGUUUCGGGUUUAGAUAUGGAUUUUUGAAAUUCGUUGAGUUAAGAAAUAGGUUUUGCGAUUGUUAGUCAGGUUCGAAUUCAAAGUCAUGACCAUUUUUUCUGAACAGUAAUCCUAAUAUUUUUAAUUUUUAUAUCUAAAAUUAUGUUUAAAAUAUUCAUUAGCUCUAACUGUUAAAAUGUCAUUUUGUUUAAAAUGUUUAUUAUCUUUAACGGUUCCAAAUUGUUCUUAAUCUUAUUCAGUUUAAUAGCUUGAAAUCGGAUAUUUGAUAGAAUAGUUUAAAAUCUGAUCAGUCAAAUCAAUCGGUUCAAUCUGGUUUUUAAAUAUGUUGAAUUUAAAUAUUUGCCCACAUUCAAUUUUUUAAAAUUAGUAAUACAAAAUUAAUGUCUAAGAUGAAUUCAUAAUUUUGUUAAACAUAUAAAAUAUGUUAAAUUUAAAUAUUUACCAACAUUACAAUUUUUUUUAAAUAAUGAUACAAAAUUAAUGUCUAAGAUGAAUUCAUAAUUUUGUUAAACAUAUAAAAUAUGUUAAAUUUAAAUAUUUACCAACAUUACAAUUUUUUCUAAAAUAAUGAUACAAAAUUAAUGUCUAAGUAGAACAAUUCUAAUUUUUUUUAACAUAUUAAAUACAUUUAAUCUAUAAUUUUUUUUACCUGCAUUCAAAUUUUUUUAAAUAAGUGAUACAAAAUUAAUGUUUAAACUAUAGAAAUUUAAAAAUUUCGUAAACAUAUUAAGUAUGUUGAAUUAAAAUAUUUAUCAACAUUACAAAUUUUUUAAAUAGUAAUACAAAAUUCCUCUAACUUAAAUUUUAAUUUUUAAAUUUUAAAUAUUUAUUAUUUAAUAUUUAAAUUCAAUGUAUUUAGAAAUAGAACUAUUUCUAAAAUUCCUAUAAUUUUAAUUAAUGCCUAAAUUUUUGAAUCACUAAAAUUUCUAAAGUAAAUGCGUAAAUUAAUGCCUAAUUAAUGCCUAAAUUAGGGUAAUCAAUCAAUUUCCCAAAUUAGUGCAAAUUAAUGCAUAAAUUUAGGAUAUUAAUUAAAAGUUUUUUUUAAAUGUUGCAUACUUUAAUUACCAAAAUAACCUCGCAUAAUAUAUAACCCUUUUAAUGCCUAAAUUAAUGCCUAAUUAAUGCCUAAAUUAGGGUAAUCAAUCAAUUUCCCAAAUUAGUGCAAAUUAAUGCAUAAAUUUAGGAUAUUAAUUAAAAGUUUUUUUUAAAUGUUGCAUACUUUAAUUACCAAAAUAACCUCGCAUAAUAUAUAACCCUUUUAAUGCCUAAAUUAAUGCCUAAUUAAUGCCUAAAUUAGGGUAAUCAAUCAAUUUCCCAAAUUAGUGCAAAUUAAUGCAUAAAUUUAGGAUAUUAAUUAAAAGUUUUUUUUAAAUGUUGCAUACUUUAAUUACCAAAAUAACCUCGCAUAAUAUAUAACCCUUUUAAUGCCUAAAUUAAUNACGUCGGGAGAGUGUCGGGACAAGUCCGAGUCGCGUUGGCGCGAAAUGGACGCCGAACGGACUCAGUGGAGACGCGAGGGCAUGAGUUAGCACGGGAAUCUGCAAAAUGUAGAUUUUCUGCUUGCUGUACCGGUACAACCAUCAAGGCGUACCGGUACAUUUUGUUGUACCGGUACAACAUCAGAGGUGUACCGGUACACAGUGCAUGUCUCCGCGCAGACUGCUCUCGGGUUGCCAUUUGUACCGGUACAAAUGCCCGUGUACCGGUACACCCGGGGUAGGUGAGGGACUGUUUGGUCUUUGGCUACCUCGUUGCUUUCACCCUACCUACUCCCUCUACAUAAGUGUAGAGAGGGAGAGAGACAGGGCGUUGCUGGUCUUCUUCCCCUUCUUCACUGAGGAGCCCAUUUUGCAUCAAGUCCCUUCAAUUGCGUCCAAUUUCCUCAAUUUGAAGGUGGUGGAGUGCUGAUUUUGCAGUUUUCCAGCAGCGACCGUCAGUGUUUCGGCUUGUGUGCGACAUAGGAAGCUCCGUUUUUUACGAAACUUGGUUUGCUGGAUUCUAAACUUCAAGAGGAAUCGGUGGAGCCCAAUUUCACUGAAUUUGGUGGAGGUUAGUAUGGUCGAAUUAUGAGUUUUCUGGACUGCUGCCACAGUGAAGCUGAUUUUGAGCUUAUUUGAUGUUCUUCAAUGCUAUCUUUGGAAGCAGUGGACUUUUGGACCUGAGACUCACCCUCUAUCAUUAUUCACUGGAUUUGGGACUGUCCUCACCUGAUUUGGAGAUCUUUAGAUGAGUUUUGACAUUGAAGUUGGGUGAAUUUUUAAGCUUAAGUGCUGAAAUUGUGGAAUUGGUGUAUUUUAAUGGAUUUUGAUGAUCAGAUCUUGAUUGUGGAUCAUUGCCGGCUGAGAAUAGGUGCGGCUGGUUCCGACAGGGUGUUCUGCAGCUAAGUGAUCUCCUUGCUGCCAGGAUUUAGCUUUUGAGGUGAGUGUUUCAUCGGUUUUGCUCCUACGUGCAUGUUAGUCGUCGUGUAUGAUUGUCGGUUCUGGUAUAUCAUGCUAAAUUUCAUUGAUUAGCAUCUUGGCUGUAAUAUGAAUGUUGAAGCAUGCUGAAACAAGUACUUACAUUAUACCUGUUGGACUUGGAAACUGACUUAGGAGAAAACCAGCGUUUUGAACCUGUCAUAUGCUUAAACUACUUGAUUUAGCUCUAGGAGCCGUUGUAUUUUGUAUCGCCGCAGUAUCGACGCGGUGGAUACCCCAGGUAGUUUAGAUCUCUGUUACGCUUGUAUUGGGAUGCCGAGUGUAUUUUUACAGUAGUGUUCAGACUGUUCCGGACUGUUAGGGGCUGUUGGGGUUGACGGCGGACCCAGAUUUCUGCUUUUGGUCUCAGAUUGUGCCGAGGACACGUGGGUUUAGUUUCUAGACCUAUUUUGACCUAUCUACUUGACUUGGGCUUGUGAGAACCUGAUUGAGCUCGACAGAGAAACGCUUGCAUACUCGGUUGGAUAGUUCCCAUGAGUGCCACUCCGGAGGCGGGCGUUGUACUUUUGCGUUGGUGUCGUUCGUGCAGGUUGGACUCGCUCUCCACUGACUGCUUAGUGUGGAGGUAGCUGUAUAGUCGCAACCGGGCGGGACGGGUGUGUUCACAGUCCGAGGGACGGAUAUGUUUACAGUCUUUUUUGAGAUUGGGUCCGAGAUGACUUUGUUCUACAGAUGAUUAGAUUUAGAGCAUGAUAGUAUAGUGUCAUUUAAUUGUAGAUUUAUUUCAGCUUUCCUUACUAUUUCUUCUUAUUCCUUAGACUUAGUGGGUGGACCGAUGAGUUUGAGGGCGGUACCCACUGAGGACUACUUGUUUUUACAAUAGUUCUCACGCCCUGUUGCUCACUUUCGUUUUGCAGAGCCGUCGUCUUCGGCUGCUGCUGCUGCUUAUCCUGAUCGUGGCAAGAGCGUUGCCAGUUAGAGCCCUUCCCUGUUGUUGCUAUUCGAGAGGUUACCAACUGCAGGUAGUGCUAGUUUUUGAGUUUCUUAUACAUACUUGUUGUAUCUCACUGGGCGAGCAUUUUUGUAUACCUGGAUGUACGUAUGUAUAUGGAACUUAUUCCUGUUUAUACCAGUUUUAGUCAAGCAACUCUAUACUACUGGUUGUAGUAUUGUAUGUGUUACAGGUACAGCUACGCUUCGUAUACAGAAAAAUUUUCUUUGUGUACAGCGGAUUUGUCGGCGUGCCCAGGGAACGUGUAAUCCGGAGCGUGACAUCAAAACCCGAUUUUUCACUUUCCUCUCCUGUCAUUUAAAAACCUACACUUUUUUCCCUUGUAAAAUGAAAAAUGUCAACAAAGGGAAAUGUUGUGAACUGUGAUGAUAAAACAAACCAUUUUGCCUCUCACCAUUUUGCCCCUCACCAUAUUCACAGGAGAGAAGGCUGAGUGUCACGCCCCGGAUUGCACUUUCCCCGGGCACGCCGACAAAUCAACCGUAUACAAAAAAAUUUCUCCUGUAUACGAAGCGAAAGCUGUACCUGUAAAAUAUACAAUACUACAAAUAGUAGUAUAGAGUUGUUCGAAUAAAACUGGUAUAAACAGGAACAAAUUUCAUAUACAUACAUACGUUCAGGUACACAAAAAGCUCGCGCAGCGAGAUACAACAAGUAUGUAUAAGAAACUCAAAAACUAGCACUAUCUGCAGCUGGUAACCUGUCGAACUGCAGUAACUAGGAAGGGCUCUAACUGGCAACGCCCUUGCCACGAUCAGUCUCUGAGGAAGCAACAGCCGGAACAGCAGGCUCUAUAGAAAUAUGAUAACAACUGGGCGUGAGAACUACUAUAAAAAUAAGUAGUUCUCAGUGGGUACCAUCGUAAACAUCGUCGGUCUACCCACUAAGUCUACAGAAAUGAGCAAGGAUAGUAUGAAAUGCUGAAAGAAACUCUACAGCUACAAGACACUACACUAUCAUGCUCUACACUAACCAACCGUAGGAAGUGUCAAUCUUGACCCAAUAGAACUGGGACUGUAAGCCUACCCAUUCCUUGGACUGUGAACACACCUGUCCCGCCUGGUUGCGACUAUACAGCUACCUCCACUCUAAGCAAUCCGUGGAGAGCAAGUCCAACCUGCACGAACGACACCAACGCGAAAGCACAGCGCCCGUCUCCGGAGUGGCACUUGUGGGAGCUACCCAGUCGAGUAUGCAAGCGUAUCUCUAUCGAGCUCAAUCAGGCUCUCACAAGUCAAAGUCAAGUAAUAGGGUCCAACUGGUCUAACAACCAAUAGGUCACGUGCCCUCAGCAUAAUUUGACGCCCAAAACGGCGAUAUAGAUCCACCGUCAACCCCGACGGCACCGAACAGUCCGGAACAGUUUGAACGCUACUGUAAAAAUACACUCGACAUCCCAGCACGAGCAUAACAGCUAUCUAAACUACCUGAGGUAUCUACCACGUUGAUACUGCGGUGAUACAAAAUAACAACAGCUCCUAGAGCUAAAUCAGGUAGUUUAAGCAUGUGACAUGUUCAAAUCGUAGGUUUUCUCCUAAGUCAAAUCCAAGUCAAACAUGUGUAGAUACCUAGUCACAGUAUUAAGCUCCAAUUCAGAUUCUACAGUUAAACAUGCCAAAAUCUAUGAAUCGAGCAAUUUCUAUCAACGAAAUAACAUAAAAACACAUGUCGACAAUCUAUAUACUUAGAAGAUAACCGACGAUUAACCGACAUCGAUAGCUAAUCCCAAUCCGGCGCGACGUCGAGAACGGCGGAAUCGCACCCUCGCCCGUCCUCCUCGCGAUGCUAUGAUGACGAACGUACGCUCGAACAGCACCGCGACGCGACGUCGACGACGAACCAACCCACCCGAGCUCCUCCUUGUUCACGGCUAAUGCUAGAGAGAGAGAGGAGAAGAAGCAUGCAAAACUCCCUAUCUUAGCCUCUCUACACAUGUAUCUAGCAAUGGAAGGAAAGGGCGACACGUAUGAGGCAAGGAAUGACCAAAUCCUCUCUCACCUAUCUUGGCGUACCGGUACACGGGUAGUUGUACCGGUACAAAUGGUAACCCGAGAGCAGCUGCGCAAAAAUCUGGCGAAGUGUACCGGUACGCCCUGCUGGUUGUACCGGUACAGAAAGUGUACCGGUACACCUUGAUGGUUGCACUGGUACAACAAGCAGAAAACCUGUAAUUUGCAGAUUUCCAAAGUAAGUCCUGCUCUCGUAUCCCUGCUGAGUCUGUUUUGUGUCUAUUUUGCGCCAACACGACUCAAACUUGUCCUGAUACUCUCCAGAGCUGUCGACAAGCCUCUACUGCUGUACACCAGGGAUACCACACCCUCCCCACUACAAAAAGUUUCGUCCUCGAAACUUAACACGUACCUCAACCCUGAGCAUCAAACAAGUAGGGAUAGGGCUCCCUCAUCACUGUCUCUGGCUCCCAAGUCGCAUUCGGCUCCUCGUGAUUACUCCACUGCACUUUUACAUACGGGAUGACCCUAUUGCGCAAUUCUUUCGUCUCCCGAGCAAGAAUCCGCAACGGUCGCUCCUCGUAUCUCAGAUCCUUGUCAAUCUCUAGUGUAGUGAAGUCGAUCACGUGAAAAGGAUCGAAAACAUAUCUCCUCAAAGUCGAGACGUGGAACAUAUCAUAAAUGUCUGCUAGCCGUGGAGGUAGAGCAAUCCUGUAGGCAACCGGUCCAACUCGCUCCAAUAUCUCAAAAGGGCCAACGAAACGUGGAUUGAGCUUUCCACGUACUCCAAAUCGACAAAUCCCUCUGGACAGCGAAACUUUGAGAAAUACAUGAUCUCCAACCUGAAACUCUAAGUCUCGUCUCUGGGUAUCGGCAUAGCUCUUCUGGCGGCUCCGGGAUGUCAAAAGGUGUCGUCGAACAACUCUCACCUUUUUCCCAGCCUCUAGCAAGAUCUCAGGCCUUAGUGUCUUCCUCUCACCCACAUCACUCUAAAACAAAGGGGAUCGAUAUCUGUGUCCCUACAACGCCUCAAACGAAGCCAUCUGGAUGCUCGUUUGAUAGCUGUUGUUGUACGCAAACUCAGCGAGUCUCAAAUGUCGAUACCACCCUCCUCCAAAGUUCAGGACGCAUGCCCUCAGUAUGUCCUCUAAAGUCUGUAUGGUCCUCUCUGACUGACCAUCUGUCUGUGGGUGAAACGUCGUGUUGAAAUGCAGCUGUGUACCCAAAGUUGUCUGAAGACUCCGCCAAAAAUGCGGAACAAACCUCGGGUCCCUGUCCGAUACAAUCAACAUCGGCAUACCAUGCAGCCUGACGAUUUCAUCUAGGUAUAGCUGCGCGAGCCUCUCUCUGGACCAGGUGGUCUGAACUGGUAGGAAGUGAGCAGACUUAGUCAGUCUGUCCACUAUCACCCAAAUAGCAUCGAAACCACCCUGUGCUCUCGGUAAUCCCACGACGAAGUCCAUCGUGAUCUGCUCCCAUUUCCACUCGGGUACUGGCAGACUCUGAAGUUUGCCAGCAGGUACCUGAUGCUCGGACUUUACCUGUUGACAAGUUAGACACUGAGUAACAAAUCUGCCAAUGUCCCUCUUCAUUCCAUUCCACCAGAACUGUGCCUUCAAGUCCUUAUAUAUCUUGGUUCCACCAGGGUGAACAGUAUAAGGAGAACAAUGAGCCUCUCUCAAAAUAUCCUCUCGGAUCUCUAAACCCAUGGCACACACAGUCGGUCCCUGUACCGCAGUACUCCUGAACUGUCUACUACAAAGCCCUCAGCCUGUCCCCUGUCUAACUGCUCUCGAAUCCUCAACAAGUGUGGAUCUCCACUCUGUUUCUCUCGGAUCCUAUCCAACAGAGUGGGCUGCAAGACUAAAGUCAUCAGUCUCACAAUAGACCCAGAAGACACUAUCUCGAGCCUUAGCCGCUGCAGCUCCUCGAGUAACAGCCUCUGCUGUGUGAUCAUCAAACUCAGGCUUUGCACUGCCUCCUGCUCAACGCAUCUGCCACCACAUUCGCCCUACCGGGAUGAUACUGAAUACUAACAUCGUAGUCAUUCAGUAAUUCCAACCACCGGCGCUGCCUCAGGUUCAGCUUUCUCUGGGUGAACAGAUACUUGAGACUUUUAUGAUCGGUAAGAACCUCGCAGUGCUCGCCAUACAAGUAAUGCCGCCACAACUUCAAAACAAAGACUACCGCGGCAAGCUCCAAGUCAUGCGUGGGGUAAUUCUUCUCAUAAUCCUUUAACUACCAUGAAGCAUAAGCAAUUAUCCUACCAUGCUGCAUCAGCACACAGCCCAGCCCGAUGUGCGAUGCAUCACUGUAGAUCACAAAUCCUUCCCCCAUCACAGUAAAGGCAAGGAUAGGAGCUGACGUCAACCUCUGUCUUAACUAAUCAAAGCUCCUCUGACAAUCCUCACUCCAGAUGAACCAAAUCCCCUUUCGAGUCAAUCGAGUGAGGGGUAUGGAAAGCUUCACAAAGUCUUCCACAAACCGACGGUAAUAACCAGCAAGUCCCAGGAAACUCCUCACCUUUGUCACCGUCGUCGGUCUGGGCCAAUCUCGAAUAGCAUCGAUUUUCUUCGGGUCCACUGCUACUCCCUCUGCAGAAAUCACGUGCCCCAAGAAAGCAACCUCCCGCAACCAGAACUCGCACUUCUUCAACUUGGCAUACAACUUCUUCUCUCGCAGAAGUUGUAGCACAGUCCUCAAGUGCUCCUCAUGCUCGGCAUCACUCCGGGAGUAUAUCAAAAUAUCGUCGAUGAAGACUACCACAAAUCUAUCCAAGAACGGCUUGAACACCAUGUUCAUCAAAUUCAUAAAUGCAGCAGGGAUAUUUGUCAAUCUAAAAGGCAUGACCGUAAACUCAUAAUGCCUAUACCGAAUCCGAAAAGCCGUCUUGGGAACAUCCUCGGCCCUCACCCUCAGCUGGUGGUAACCGGACUGGAGAUCAAUCUUCGAGAUGACAUAAGAUCCCUGCAGCUAAUCAAACAGAUCAUCAAUACGCGGCAAAGGAUACAUAUUCUUGAUGGUCACUUUAUUCAGCUCUCGGUAAUCAACACAUAACCUAAGUGAACCAUCCUUCUUCUUUACAAAUAACACUGGUGCUCCCCAAGGCGACACACUGGGUCUCGCAUACCCCUUAUCCAUCAGAUCCUGAAGCUGCGCCUUUAGCUCUCUCAGCUCUGCCGGUGUCAUUCGAUAAGGUACCUUCGAGAUUGGUGCAGUUCUUGAAACUACAUCAAUCACAAACUAAAUCUCCCUCUCCGGCGGCAACGUCGUCAACUCCGAAAAAAAUAUAUCCGAAAACUCGCGGACUAUAGGGAUAUCCUCGAGUCCCGGCGCCGCUGUAGGUACCUCUACCACCGUCGCCAGAAAAGCAACACAUCCCCUGCUCAUCAGCUGUCGAGCCCUCGCCGAAGAUAUCCAGGUGGCAAACAAUAUACUCCUGCAGCCUCUGAAAGUAAACUCCUCCUGGCCUGGAUCGCCGAACGUCACCAUCCUCGCUCCACAGUCGAUCGUACCAUAAUACCGCGCCAGCCAAUCCAUACCGAGCACUACGUUGAAGUCCUGCAACUGCCCUAAAAUCGACAAGUCUGCGGGCAUGAUCCACGAGUCUAACUACACCAGACACGACGAACAACACUCUACAACCUGUAACACAUGGUCGGAGAUCUGCACCUCUCGUGACAAUGCAACAAUGCAAAUACUCGACUAACAAAGGAGUGAGAUGCACCAGUAUCAAAAAGAGUACGAGCUCUAAUGCAAGAAAUCAAAAUAAUACCUGCCACCACUCGGUCGGCUACUGUAGAGUCCUCCACCUGAGCUGCAUAGACACGGCCACUCGGUGCCUGCUGUCGCCGCUCACUCUGACGCGGCACAGAUGCCUUAUCCUCCUGGUGGUAACUCGGGGCUGCUCCAAAAGACUGCUGGAAUGCUGGCUGAACUGAGGCUGUGGAUGGUGCUGACGAUGCUGCUCGAGGACAGGCUGAUCUCAUAUGCCCGGGCUGACAGCAACUGUAACACCUCCCUCUCUCUGCUCGCACUGCCGGGGCCAGUGGGGUCCUCCACAGAUCACACACUGCGGUGUCCUCGGUGGCUGUCCCUGUUGACGGGAUUCCCCAGAACGCUGAAGCCCCGAAAACCCACGACCCUGAGAGCGUGAUCGUGGCAGUCUCGGCGGAUGCCUGCUGCUCGACUGUUCAGCAUCAUCUGAAAAGGGCCGCUUCCGGUCCUGACUCUGCCCCACCGCCUGAGUCCUCUCCCGAAUGGCAACAUCAUGUCACGCCCCGUGGCCGAUUUUAAAAGCCUUUUUAAAAUUCAUUACCAUUUUGAAAACAGAGCUGCGGAAGACAUGCCAUUUUGUUUUUUAACUUGGCCCACGUGACGUACAGACUUGUCACAAAUAUAAAGUUCCUCUGUCCACUCGGAUAGAGUCUACUUUGUAUUUGCACGGCGUACCAACAGCUACAUCAGGAUCUCAACUACAAUUUGCAAUUACCAAUCAUCAAUCAAUUCAUGAUAUGCAAUAACAUACAGUUAUCGAUCCUUAGAGAUGAUGCAUGCCUCUAAGCACUCCUUACGCGCUGGAUGAUACAAUGCACAAUAGAACAAUCAUCCUAUUUUAAAAGUGCUCCCCACCUGAAAGUUUUGUUUUUAAACUCUAAUUCGAUCAGUCAUAAAACAAUCGAAAAUUUUUUAAAAAAAUUAUUUUCCACUCGAAAACUCUAUUUUGAAAACCGACUACCUCGAGGGGUAGAAAACAACGAUGUGUAAAUAUACGAAAAUUCGAUAUCCAUAAAACCAACAUCCAGAUCCACAAACCUCUGUUCAAAUGCAUAAAUAACGAAAACAUCCAUAACUAAAAUCAGUUCACAACAUUCAAGCAAUCAGAGGAUUAUCUAACCGAACCAUUUAUUUAAACUACUAAAAGCAGGAAUGAAAUAACCAGGGUGACGGUCGCUAUACCAGACUAGCUAGAUCGUCUUCUCGUCGAGCCCAAAGUCCAACUCCUUGCCCGAAUCACCUGGAAAAAUGGGGAGUGGGAAACCGCAACCAUAGUUUUCCAGUGGGUACGACAGAGCCACGAAGGCAAGCCGUAAUCACCGAAAACCAAAGGAGAUAGAUAGACAAGUAUAUAUAUAUGCUGAUAUGAAACAGAACUACAGUAGCUAUAACAGAUCUAAUAAGAAGCAAGAAGUAAGACUGCUACUGUAUAGAAAAUAAUGCAAAUAUGCCUCAAAGUAAUCAACCAGAAACUGUACCGAGCUGCCUGUCACUAACUGCACCGACCUGAUCCAUCCACCCCACAGGACGACCUAUCCGGAUAAGUACACCUCCGAUCGGUGGCCAAACCGAUCCGGUGUCAUGAAUACCCCCAAGUGCUGUGACUAAGUCAUGCUGGUAUGCUCAAACAAAAAUCGGCUGAAGCCGGUGCCUAGGCCGAAGCCAACAACAAGGGCGUACAACGCCGAAACAUGAUAGAUGCUAGGGCGUACAACGCCGAACCAUGAUCAACCAGAUCGAAACACAUGACAAAGGAGUCGAUGUGUUGCCUGGACCCAAGGUCCACAGAGAUAUCGAAAUAUAAAUGCCAACCUGCUCUACAUGUCUAUCAACAACUAAUAGAUGCAGCCAAGAAAGUAAGAUAUACUAAUGAUAACCAAGCAAUGACAUGUAGAGACUACAAUAAUGGAAUAGAAAAAUAGAAAAAGGUGAAACGCUCUCACCGACUAUCAGCUCGAAGCACCCACCUGUCACAAUCGCAUCGGAAAACCUGGAUGCAUACAAGUCGACCGGACCUACAAAGGUCCACUGGGUCAGUAUCCAACCUACUAACCCAAAGCACAAGACUCACAAACCCCCACACAGAUCCCUGAAUCGGAUUCCCAAAACCGAUCACCGUAACUGACUGGAAGUUCCGAAAACCACACCGGGACGCCGUCGGGACCCACUAUGUGUCCCGAAAACUCACGACUCAUGUCACGAGUCACCCGUUGCCACAAAACAGUCCGAUAUGGAUGUCCUGGUAGCAAACACAAGAUAACAUAACCCAACAAUUAUCGUCGAAUAAUUGUUCGGAUCCGGAUUUUUGGAAGUGUCUAUUUCGACACCGAAACCUAUCGUCGCUCACCCAUCAUCACCGAACCCACAAAAUGAUGAUGGUGACCAGCCAACAAAGCUCAGCGACAAUUCACAGGACAACCAAACCGUGUCAGAAAAAAUCCGAAUCGAAACCGCGUUCUUUCGGCGAAUUUUGUCAAAAAACGCACCGAAAUCGACUCUUCGAUUUCCGCAAAGGCUAUCGGAUCAUGGACAAUCAGUCCAGAGGUCACCGCACAUGCAAACACACUACCCACAGUAGCCACAAGGUGCACAAAUGCAUAAAAGCCCCUCACUUUACAUAAAAUCCUAUCAUUUUAUGUAAAUCGGGCGAUCAAGUGACUCAUUCACGCAAACUGAGGACUCCCGAGGUCCGUCGAGACACGUACUGACAGGUCUCGACGUGCCGAAGACCGUGUUCAUGGUCCGGAGUACAAUGGCUCACUGUGGGAAGCGCGGGAGCAACCCGAAGGUUCUGCAAACAGCGCAGUCGGGGAAAAUCAAGCCGAACAGGCCGAUUCGACAUCCGCUGAUCCAAAGUAAAGUGAGCACUGUGAUCAGCACAGACCAGCGAUCACCGUGCUCACCUUCAGAGGCAUCGGGACAGCCUCGGAUCGCCAGAAAAGUGCGCGCACACACGGAACAGCAGCCGAAAAGGCCCAAAAAGGGCCGACACCGCCUAAACAGCGGAACGAAGCCUUCCCGACAAAAAAAAAUAAGGUGAGCAUGAUGAUCAGCGAUGAGUCACGAUCAUCGUGCUCCCUUCUGCAGUGAUCGGGAUGUCUCGGGAAGCUCGGAACAGUAAACCAUCCAAAAUAAGCCCUAUUUCGGGUUUGGCCGGAGCAAGCUUGCUCCGGCCGGCCUCCGGCGGCACGGCAAGGCGCGCGCGGGCCAGGGAUGGGUAGGAGGGAGUGGACGAGCAAGGUUCUCACCUCAGUUGGCAGCGAGGAGCGGCGGUGGUGACGGCGGAACCAACCAAGCCCGCACAAGAUCAAGCUCGGGUUCUAAGGGCAGCUGCGGCCACGGCGGCGGUCGGGGCGCUCAGGGACGGCGGCAGAGGGUUGCUGGAGUCCGGAGGGCAGCCUCGGGCACGGCCUCGAGCGGCGGGGAGGCGGCCCCGAGCGGCGGCGGCGCGGGGGUCGGAGACGUGGCUUGCCUCGGCCUGCACAUGUCUUAGGCGGCUGCAGCUGGCCGAGGCGGCGGCGACGGCCCGCAGGGGCGACGGCGACCGGCCGGGAAGGUCGGUGAGGCCCAGGGGAAGGCCGCGGGAGCGACCCCAAGCGGCUGCGGCGCGGAGAAGAGGCCGCACGAUCUGCUCGGCCUGGGCUAGGGCUAGGUGGCUGCAGGCGGCUACAGCGCGGCGCGGCGGCACUCGAGGAAGGCGGCGGUCGGCGGGGAAACUCUGACAGUGUCUGGGCGACGCAGGCAAGGUGUAGGGAAGCAAUGCAGCCUCGGCCAAGGCUUCAACCCAAGAAGAAGAGAGGGGUGGAGAGAGAGAGAGAUGGAGAGGAAGGCUGCGGCUGCUACUGGCCGGCCGAGGCUCAGUCAUCAGCGGGCGGGGGUGGCGCAGCAAGGGCAGGGCAACCAAGGGAGGUGGCUGGGGGUUUAGCUCGGGCUAGGGUUAGGGUUUUCUUAGUGCAAACGCUAAAACAAGCAUAUAUACAAGGUGCAAUAUGCGAGUUAGCCCACCAAACCUCAGUAUUUAGUACUGAGUCUCUCACAACGCGUGUACAAUGCGAGAAUGCCUCUCCACGUGCGAUCUCACGCAAAACGGUACAUAAAAUAUCGCGACUUUUGCAAAAUUACCGUUUUGUCAUCACCGACCUCUCCUCGAACAAUGCGUAAUAUCCCCAAAUCCGUUCGUCAGAUUUGUGAACGGAUAACACCAAUGCGAUCAGCACAACUAAGACAACAAACCUACGAUUUUGGUUCGCCUCAAUCGGUCACGGAUUCGCGACGAAAUCUGUUUUCUCUCCAAAAGGCCAAAAUAACGCACAAUUACAUAGAGAACAUGUAUUUUCAGAUUUUCUCGAAAUCCGCGGGUCAAACCCAAAAUCCGUCAGCUCCAUCGGUUCCAAAAUAGCUAAAUCGUUCGAAACGAGCUAUUGGACUGCUAUGAACGGAGUCCGAUACGCGCCAGAAGCCAACUUCAUGCAUUGGCCUCUUCGGAAAACCGAGUUACUAUUCACUUUCGGUGAAUACUGAAGAUCGCGUAAAAUCUCCGUUCUAACUCAUUUCCUCCCGAAACUUGACGAGUGCUUUUGUAAUUAAAUUACACACAAAAAUAUCGUCAACAGAGAAUCUAACUAUACAGUGAAAUUCUCAGUCCUUACACAUCACCUCUCUCAACCCAAAGAGUCUGCCCCAUCAACGCAUCCAAGGUCCGCAACCUCUGCGUAUGAACCAACCGGAAGAUCUCGGGACUCAAACCUUGCUCAAAGAGGUAAACUCGGUGCGCCUCAUCCUUGGCCACAAACAGCACACAGUUCAGCAGUCGCGUGAACUCCCGAAUGUACUUCUGAACUGUCCGCUCACCCUGCUGGAUCUUCUUCUGAUCCUCCUCGAGCUUCUGUUUCACACUAUUGGGAAAAUAUAUCCUGAACAGCAUUCCACAGAACUCGUUCCACUUUAUAUACAGCGCUACUAGCCCAUAGUCUCGCCUCAUCCUCCUCCACCAGGCGUAAGCAUCGCCUGACAAACAGUGGACUCCCAGAUGUACCUGCUCUCUCUCUAAUACGAAUAGAUCCUCAAAUAGCUUCUCCAUCGCACUGACCUAGCCCUCAACCACCCAGGCCUCAGUGCAACUGCCAUCGAAGAUCGGCGGAUCAAAACGGCGAAACCGAGCCAGCUUCUCUGUCAACCGCUCCUCCUCGGUCUCUGUCAUCUGUACUGGCCCCCUAGCAGGCACAACGGGUGCCACAGGAAUCUCCACUGGCGGGGGUACAACUGCGGCUGGUGCUGCCGCCGGUGUGGUCGUAGAUGGAAUAGCCUGCUUUGGUGCGCUCGGUACUGUACUCUGUGACUAAGCCACCCUCUCACACAACCUCUGCAACAACUUUUCCUAUCGCCUCGUCAUCUCCGUCAAGAUAGCCAACUGUGCACUCAAAUCAGGAGGUGCACCUACCUCCGUUCGGGCCCUCUGCUCUACAACAAGGGGUGCACUCGCCUCUACCUGCUCCGGCAUCUCAGGAGAUACGGCACGAUCCUGAGUCAACUGUGCAUGAUCCCGCGUAGACGGUCGACAUCGGCGACGAUACAUAGCUGCAAGAAACAGAACGGGGUCAGAUCAAACAAACACUCUCGACCCAAUCAAUGAAAGUCUAGAAGGUGGCCCCCUGUUUCUCCUCAAAAUUAUGUCGUCUGCAGCCAACAUAAUUUUUCUGGACCGAAACAGAAACUCCUUCAAUCACUUCCUCCGCUCUAGGAGGAGUUAGAACAAUCAAUCAGUGACUUUCGGGAUAAAUCACGCUUCUCGCGUCUUGCCUUUCUAAGGUUUGCCAACUUAGGUUUUCUAUGUCCCAACGACCUAAUACAAAACUUUGAUACCAACUUAAUCUGUCACGCCCCGUAUUGUACGUUCCCCGGGCACGCUGACAAAUCCGCCGUAUACAAAAGAAUUUUUUCUAUAUACGAAACGAUAGCUGUACCUGUAAAACAUACAAUACUAGAAACAGUAGUAUAGAGCUGUUCGAAUAAAACUGGUAUAAACAGGAACAAGUUGCAUAUACAUACAUACGUUCAGGUACAAAAAAAGCUCGCCCAGCGAGAUACAACAAGUAUGUAUAAGAAAGUCAAAAACUAGCACUACCUGUAGCUGGUAACCUCUCAAACAGCAGUAACUGGGAAGCGCUCUAACUGGCAACGCCCUUGCCACGAUCAGUCUCCGAGGAAGUAACAGUCAGAACAGCAGGCUCUGCAGAAAUAUGAUAACAACUGGGCGUGAGAACUACUAUAAAAACAAGUAGUCCUCAGUGGGUACUGUCCUAAACAUCGUCGGUCUACCCACUAAGUCUACAGAAGGGAGCAAGGAUAGUAUGAAAUGCUGGAAGAAACUCUACAGCUACAAGAUACUACACUAUCAUGCUCUACACUAACCAACCGUAGGAAGUGUCAAUCCUGACACAAUAGAACUAGGACUGUAAGCCUACCCGUCCCUGGGACUGUGAACACACCUGUCCCGUCCGGUUGCGACUAUACAGCUACCUCCACUCUAAGCAGUCCGUGGAGAGCAAGUCCAACCUCCACGAACGACACGAACGCGAAAGCACAACGCCCAUUUCCAGAGUGGCACUCGUGGGAGCUACCCAACCGAGUAUGCAAGCGUAUUUCUGUCGAGCUCAAUCAGGCUCUCACAAGCCAAAGUCAAGCAAUAGGGUCCAACUGGUCUGACAACCAACAGGUCACGUGCCCUCAGCACAAUCUGACUCCCAAAACGGCGAUAUCGGUCCACCGUCAACCCCAACGGCACCCAACAGUCUGGAACAGUCUGAACGCUACUGUAAAAAUACACUCGGCAUCCCAGCAAGAGCGUAACAGCUAUCUAAACUAUCUGGGGUAUCUACCAUGCUGAUACUGCGGUGAUACAAAAUAACAACGGCGCCUAGAGCUUAAUCAGGUAGUUUAAGAAUGUGACAGGUUCAAAUCGCAGGUUUUCUCCUAAGUCAAAUCCAAGUCCAACAUGUGUAAAUACCUAGUCACAGUACUAAGCUCCAAUUCAAAUUCUAGAGUUAAACAUGCCAAAAUUCAUGAAUCGAGCAAUUUCUAUCAACGAAACAACAUAAAAACACAUGUCGACAAUCUAUAUACUUGGAAGAUAAACGACGAUUAACCCAUCUCGAUAGCUAAUCCCAAUCCGGCGCUACGUCGAGAACGGCGGAAUUGCACCCUCGCCCGUCCUCCUCGCGAUGCUACGAUGACGAACGUACGCUCGAACGGCACCGCGGCGCGACGUCGACAAUGAACCAACCCACCCGAGCUCCUCCUUGUUCACGGCUAAUGCUAGAGAGAGAGAGGAGAAGAAGCAUGCAAAACUCCCUAUCUCAGCCUCUCUACACAUGUAUAUAGCAAUGGGAGGAAAGGACGACACGUACGAGGCAAGGAAUGACCAAAACGCCUUCUCACCUACCCUGGUGUACCGAUACACGGGUAGUUGUACUGGUACAAAUGGCAACCCGAGAGCAGCUGCGCAAAAAUCUGGCGAAGUGUACCGGUACGCCCUGCUCGUUGUACCAGUACAGAAAGUGUACCGGUACGCCUUGAUGGUUGUAUCGGUACAACAAGCAGAAAAUCUGCAAUUUGCAGAUUUUCAAAGCUAAGUCCUGCUCUCGCGUCCCCGUUGAGUCUGUUUUGCGUCUAUUUCGAGCCAACACGACUCGGAUUUGUCCCGACACUAUCCAGAGCUGUCGACAAGCUUCAACUGCUGAACACCAGGGAUACCACACAGAGAAUUUUGGUUAAAAUAAUAUAUAUAAAAUUUUUAUAACGAAACACCCUAACCGGUGGAGGCGAAGUAAAUAUUUUUAUUUUAUAUAAGGGGGGCAAAGUGUUGGAUUUUUAAAUGACAGGGGAAAGUGCAAAAAUCGGAUUUUGACAGGAGGGUUUUAUGUAAUUCUAGCCAUAUAAUAAAUAUAUAAUAUAAUAUAUAUAAGUAUAAUAUAUAUAAUAUAUUACUAUGAUAUAUAUAUAGAGAAGAGAGAAGAGAGAGGAGAGGCGAGAGAGAUGAGAGAGAGAGAGGGAGAGCAGAAGCUGCUGUGCUCUCGGAGCAACGGAGGAUUCGUGCGUCCUGAGCCGUUUUUCGAUGAUGGAAUUUUCGAAAUCGACGAUCGCGAGUCCGUUAGAACUUGAUCUAACGUAUGAAGUUAUCUAGAAAAUAAUUUUUUGCAAUUAUUUGAUGAUCAUUUACCUAGUUAUCGAAAGGAGUCAAAAUCAAUAUUUUUAAUGGUUUGAUAUCUACCCAUUUUAAGUUUAACGGUGUAGAAAUAUUCAAAUCAGAAUUGAAAUUUUGAUCACAAAAUUUUUUUACAUCUACAACAAUAUAAUAUCUUUUGAUCGGAAAAUUAUUAAUGCCUAAUAUCACCACUUUUUAUAGAAUUUAUUAAUUUUCAGCAUUAAAAUUAUUGUUUUAGAUCUUUCGAUGAUUGUUAGACAUAAAUAUAUCGAAAAAAUGCCAAAUAUAUUCUUCUACAAACUUCAAAUAGCUAGAAUCAAGUCUAACGGAGCAAUCGUCGAUUCAAAAAUUCCAUCAUUCCGGAAAACGGCUCAGGAGCACGGAGCCUCCGUGCUCCUUAAGACACAGCAGUCCUACUCUAAUAGAUAUAUAUUAUUAUAUAUAUAUAUAUAUAUAGUAGUUGAGCUAGGAUACUUUUAGAAGCACCACCCCACUUGGUCUUCCUAAGUUUCUAAACCCUUUGGAUGCGCACCCCAUAAUUACUAAUAUCCCUUAGAUCAAACACUAUUCCACCUACCACCACUUAUCACCACAUAUCACCAUCAUCUCAACCUCACAUCUCUCCAUCAAAGGGCUAAAAACACUAAAGCACCACCCACUUGGUAUUUCUAAAUGUAUUCUAGCUCCAAUAUAUAUAUAUAUAUAUAUAUAUAUAUAUAUAUAUAUAUAUAUAUAUAUAGUCCGGCUACUAUACUGUUGAUAGUACUAAACGCUUGAUGCUAUCAAGUUUUCCUCCAUUAGAUCUAUUCUUUUGACAAUUUCCACCUGUUAGAUGAUAAUUCAACCAACCACCACUCAACUCUUGGGGACUACUAUUAUCUUAAUCGGGGAUCAUUAUCAUUCUAACCUCACAUCCUUGAUCCAAGGGCCGAAAACUAAUAGCACCAAGUGCUUGGUACGUGGCUAGACCCAAGAGGUUAAGAGAGUUAAGCGUGCUAGGACGGGAGUAGUCCUAGGAUGGGUGAACCCUUGGGAAGUCGGGGCGUCACAGUUGGUAUCAGAGCCAAUUACCAGCCGGAAGUGUGAGAUGAGUCUCGGCUGAGCUAGGGUCAAAAUGACAAGGCUAGCGAGACGAGUCUUACAUCGCCUGGUACUUGUGAGUCUAAGCCUGACGAGGAUGUCAGGACUUAAAGGAGGGGAGAUUGUGAGACCCCAGAUAGUCCUAUAUAUAAGAUAUAAUAGGGCUAAACUCUUAACCCGGCUUAAGCAUUUUGGGUGGUGGCAAGGCCCAAGAGGUUAAGAGAGUUAAGCGUGCUGGGACGGGAGUAGUCCUAGGAUGGGUGACCCCCUGGGAAGUUGGGGCGUCAUAGUUUAUAGUAGGCCUGAUAUAUAUAUAUAUAUACAUAUAUAUAUAUAUAUAUAUAUAUAUAUAUAUAUAUAUGGAGCUAGGCUGGUAUACUAUCGGUAGCAUUGAGGCCUCCUUGCUACCAAGUUGUUUUCAAUGAUGCGGCUUCUAAAUCGACGAUCGGGUUCGUUAAACUUGAUCUACACUAUUAAAAGUAUUUGGAAACUAAAUUUCAUAAUUUUUCGACAUCAUUUGGCUAGUGAUCAAAGGUCUUAAAAUUUACAAUUUUAAUGAUAGAUCUGAUGCGUUUGUGAGUUUAACGGUAUAAAACAAUCCAAAUCUGAUGAAAUUUUUAUAGAAAUUUUUUUUCAUUAUUUAGAGUAAGAUCAGUACACUGAUCUUAAAUUCAAGUCUUUUAUCAUUAUUUUUUAUGAGAUUUUUAUUUUCAGCCAUUCAUUUUUAGCCCUGGGAAGUUGGGGCGUCAUAGUUUAUAGUAGGCCUGAUAUAUAUAUAUAUAUACAUAUAUAUAUAUAUAUAUAUAUAUAUAUAUAUAUAUAUGGAGCUAGGCUGGUAUACUAUCGGUAGCAUUGAGGCCUCCUUGCUACCAAGUUGUUUUCAAUGAUGCGGCUUCUAAAUCGACGAUCGGGUUCGUUAAACUUGAUCUACACUAUUAAAAGUAUUUGGAAACUAAAUUUCAUAAUUUUUCGACAUCAUUUGGCUAGUGAUCAAAGGUCUUAAAAUUUACAAUUUUAAUGAUAGAUCUGAUGCGUUUGUGAGUUUAACGGUAUAAAACAAUCCAAAUCUGAUGAAAUUUUUAUAGAAAUUUUUUUUCAUUAUUUAGAGUAAGAUCAGUACACUGAUCUUAAAUUCAAGUCUUUUAUCAUUAUUUUUUAUGAGAUUUUUAUUUUCAGCCAUUCAUUUUUAGACUACUCGUUCGAUUGAUAAAUGAUGUCGAAAAAUUAUGAAAUUUAAUUUUCAAAUACUUUCAAUAGUAUAGAUCAAAUCUAAUGGAGCUGAUCGUCGAUUUGGAAGCCGCAUCAUUGAAAACAACUUGGUAGCACGGAGACCUCCGUACUACCGAUAGUAUACGAACCUAGCUCUAUAUAUAUAUAUAUAUAUAUAUAUAUAUAUAUAUAUAUAUAUAUAGACAGAGAGAGAGAGCAGGGUUACUAUACACUAUUAACAGUACAGCCGCCCUUAUACUCUUAAGUUUCUAAUCAUCCAUCAAUUUUAAUGGUAGAAAAUGGGUUGGGAUGGAGGUGAUUGUGGUGAGAAGUGUGUAAAAGUGAAGAGAAAUUGGAAAAAAAAAAAAUUGAAAGAGAGGAGAAAUUUAGAGAGAGAAUGAAAAAAGAAAAGAAAAGGUGCUUGUAAGUUUUUUACCGUUAGAUCUACUCCUCGGAUCAUUUUCAACCAUUAGAUUAUACUAUUCAACCAACCACCCCCUCAACCCUAGGGGGCCACAUCAUCCUAACCGCAUAUCACUUAAUCCAAUGGCUAAAAAUUUACAAGCACCAAUAGAUUGGUACUUUUAAAAGCAUAGGAGCUCAAUUAUAUAUAUAUAUAUAUAUAGCAGGACUAUUGUACUCUUAAGAGUGCGGAUGUCUCCGCACUCCUAAACUAUUUUCUAUUAUAGUGGUUCUCUAGAAUUAAGUGGUGCUUAGUUGAAUAGUAUAAUCUAACGAAUGAAAAUGGUUAAAGAGAUAGAUCUAACUACGAAAAACUUAAUAACACCAAAUACUUAGUGCUAUUGAUGGUAUAGUACCCAACUCUUUAUAUAUAGUUCAAUUAGCGUGCAAAUAUGAACUCUACUCAUUCAAAUUUUAUUUACAAAGGAAAGAAAGUCGUCUGUAUCCCCCAAAAAAAAAAGAAGAAGCAGCUGUUAACGAGUGGAACCACAUUUCCAAAUUGUUGACCUGAGUCAAACUGUUGACUGAGUCAACAUUCGCUGUUAGAAUGACCCUUGAUGAUCUGAUCAUGCCAAACGUUGAGUAGGGAUUGGCUCUUCCUCAAUACAUAAAUAAAUUAAGAAAGCUUAUCAUUGGGACGACAAUAUUCUGUUCCUUCACAUAAAAUUUCUUCUACUAUGCGCUCAUUAAAAAAAAGUUAUGUCUCUGUAUUCUUCUAAAAAAUAUGAUUGCCUGGUUUAAGAUAUAGACAGAAUAUGUACAAAAUUUAUCCAAACUAUAGAUUAUUUUAAAUUAAUUAUUUAAUUUUUUAAAAUUUUAAUUUUACUAUCAAAUUUUUUAAUAUAUUUGAUUUGAUAAAGUCAACAAUAUUUUAACUUCAAAAUUUAAGCAAAUUAUCUUAAUGAUUUUAUAGCUGCGAGAAUUGUACAAAUUAUAUUAAUUGCAUUUGUAAAGAUAAAUGACAUAUUUAAAUUUUAAAAUAAAAAAGUAUUUUAAAAUUAUGAACUUUGAACUAAAAUAUUUUGAAAAUGAAUCAUAAAAUUUGUUCAUAUAUAUAUAUAUAUAUAUAUAUAUAUAUAUAUAUAGUUGAGCUAGAAUACUCUCAAAACCACCAAGGGAGUGGUGCUUUUGAGUUUUUAGUCAUUGGAUGGAGAGAUGUAGGGUUGAGAUGAUGGUGUUAGGUGGAAUAAUGUUUGAUCCAAAGGCUAUUAGUAAUGAAGGGGUAGAUUCAAGGGCUAGAAACCUAGAAGCACCAAGGGAUUGUUGCUUCUUAAAAGUAUUCUAGCUCAAUUAUAUAUAUAUAUAUAUAUAUAUGGUCCGGCUACUAUCCUAUUAAUAGGAUUGGGACCCUCGUCCUAUCAAGUCGAUUUGAAUGAUCGGAACUUCAAAUUGAUAAUCGGCACUGUUGAAGCAAUUAGAAAUAUUUAGAAACCAAAUUUUGUAAUAUUUAAAAAUUAUUAUCAAGUUAAUCUUAAGAGUUGAAAAAUGAACGGUCAUAAAUGAAUAACCUUCUUAAAAUAGAGGUUAGACUUUCUCAGUUCGUAAUCAGAGUUAUCAAACAUUAUCUAAAUAGUAUAAAGAAUUUUCUAUCAAAAAUUCAAGCAAUUUGGAUUGCUCUACACCGUUAAACAAGCAAAUGGCUCAUAUAGGCCGUCAAAAAUUGUCGAUUUUACGACACUUUGAUCACCAUGUAAACUAUUAUCAAAAUUUAUGAAAUGUAGUUUCUAGAUAGUUCAAAUACUCUAGAUCAACUUCAACGGCUCCGAUCAUUGAUUCGAAAUCUCGAUCAUCAAGAACAACUUGAUAGAACAAGUGCUCCUAUUCUAUUAAUAGGAUAGUAGCAUUAGCAUAUAUAUAUAUAUAUAUAUAUGCUCACUAACCGCUGGGUGUGUUUGGUUCCACGUAAAACUAUAGAAAAAAAAUUUUCGGUGGAAAAAAAUUUUCGGUGGGAAAAAAGUUUUACGUCGUUUGUGUUUGGUUUAUAGGAAAAGAAAAUUAGUUUUCCGUGACAGUUGUUUGGUUGAAAGAAAAAAAAAAAUUUAAUAUAUUAUUUAUUAUAUAUAUAUAUUAUUAAUAUAUAAUAAUUAUAAUCAUGCUAUAUAUGAAAAAUUAUUAUAUAUAUUUUCUCCUAUUAUACAUAUUAUUAUUAUAUAUAUUAUUAAUAUAUAAUAAUUAUCAUAAUAUAUUUAAUUAUUAUAAUUUAUAUUUAUAAACAAGAUAUAUUUAAAAUAUAUUAUAUAAUAAAUAUAUAAUAUAAUAUAUAAUAAUAAUAUAUAUUUAAUAUUAUAAAAUAAAUUAUUAUAUAUUUAUAAAUAAAAUUNACAUGAGCUCGUGGACCCCGAUGAUGAGCCGCGAUGAGUUUUCGUUUUCCGCCGAAUCUCGGCAGAAAACGAAAAGCAUUUUUUUCCAUAGAAUCCGUAAAAUAAUUUUUCCGUUAAAAUUUAUUUUACGUCAAACCAAACGCCAGAAAAAUAAUUUUCAACUGAAAAAAAAAUUUUCAGAUCAUUUUUACAAGGAACCAAACGCCCCCUAUGCCUAACUCCGGAGUUCUCCGACGAAAACUCUCACUCAAAAAAAUGUUUCGUGGCGAAAGAGAUGUUACUGUAUGGGGGGUGAGCUCAUCGGAAGUAACCAGACUCCCAACGCAGGUUUUUUGGGCUAACGCAUCAGAAAUAUAGCGCGGCCCAAUGUCUGACAAAAUCUCGAUGCGACACGGGCCGAAUCUAUUGACUACUGGACUAAAUACAUGGGCUUUCACCCGACCCAAGUGCCUAAUUGAUAGGUCUUUUUUCGGAUUAGUGUGUUUAAUUUAAUACCAUAGAAGGGAAGCUGGCUUAAAUUUACAUUUUUCUGGUAAAAUAGACCAGAGGAUGAACUACAUACUUUUCCAAAUUUUUCCCCCCAAAUUUUCCUAUUAUUUUUUAUAAUAAAGGGUCCAUACUUAUCAUCGCACAAAGAUGAUCUGAAACAGAGAAAUUCUUUUAGAAUGAAAUUGUUAUUUUAAAAAAUUAUUUUCGAUCUCAAAGUAAUCUCAGAACGAAUGAUUUAUUGUAGAUCAUAAUUUAAAAAGUUAAUUUAGGAUUAUGCUAUUAACUGGUUGGAUUUAUAGAUUUAUAUAUAGUAUCUGUUCAAAUAUGUCUAAGUUAAUUAAGACAAGGCCAAACAUUAAAUGAUGAACUCAAAUGAGAAUGUUAACUAAUGAACCAAAAAGGUGCGCUUUUUGAUAUUCAAACCAAUAUAUAGAAGCGCUAAUUUACAUUCAUCAAAUGACUCUCUCAUGACAAUUUUUCAUAACUAUUUUAUACAUUGGAACAAGCAAACUCUGACAACAAUUCUCUCAUUUCCAUUUAGGUUUCUCUGUAGUAGUUGAUAUACGAGAUGGUGAGGACGAAACAUGCGAAUGAACCUCAUCAAAUGUAAAAGAAUAUAAACAACAUCCUUGGGCUGGAUUCCCCCUUUGGGCCUUGGGCUGAAACAAGUAGUGGGCCGAUGCGGACCCUUUCACAUGAAAAAGCCGAAGUAGAGAUGAAUAUUGAAAGCCCAUAAUACAGUGAACAAAUAGCAAUAUUGAAAGCCCAUAAUACAGUGAACAAAUAGCAAAUAAUCGAUCUAACAAGUGAAAAAGAUCUCGAAGAAUUAUCACCUGGGCGUGCAGUCCAAAAAGCGCAUCGGCAGGUCGCAAUGUAAGGUUGACUAAUAAGGUAUAGAGCAGCAAGGCAUGAGGACUAGAAUACUCGUCCGUAGUGGGCUUCUUUUGGUAAAUAAUACAUAACAUGUUCAGUUUCUCUCGGGCUGGGGCAAAUUCACACAAAGGCACAGAAUAAAGGAAAAAAGAAAAGGAAAAAGAAUACUCUUAUUCUUCGCUCUUCCGUAGAGCUGAUCCGAAAGAAUUCACUAGUAAGCAAAAAAAUUAUUAAGUAACCCUAUUUCUCACCUGAUGAAUUAAGGAUAUAUAGAGGGCCAUUGGUAUAUUGGCUAGAGUGGGGAAAAGAGCAGGAAGUCGCACUCUUGAUUUGUGUCUUUUUCGGUUAUCUGGACUCCUCUUCCUAUCUAGCAAAUCAGGUUUUGACAGUACGACUAAGCAGUAUCCAGAGAACAUCAGUACAAUCGGUAGCAUCGCAGGAACAAACCUCUCAUUCCCAAACAUUUUUGUCUUAUCAUACAGAAGUGGGAAAGGUAACUUGACAUUAAGAACACUGUUAUGUGCUGAUUAUACAUGAUCAAUGUCUAUACCUAAUUCUUUGUGACCAAAAACACUAUCAACUCCUAAUACACAAGCAAUAAGACCUGAAAGUCUCGACAAUUUUGACUCUAUGAUGCCAAUGACUGAAAAUAGUAAGAAACACCAAACCAUGGAGGGAAAUCCCUGGGUGAAAUACCAAUGAGAAUGAUGGGUUCCAUAGUAGUCCCCUGCAGAAGAAAGAAAAUUAAUUUUUAAGGAAGUGAAGAGGCACAACGACCUAUAACUCAUACAUCCACCUAUUCAAGAAGCAUGUAGCUGCAAGCACAAGAACCCUGUUAACACCAGAAAAUUGCUAAGAAUAGAAGAAAAUACGAACAAAAGAGCAUUGAUAAAACAAGACAUAAAGAAUGUGCACAAUCUAAAGGUAACGUUGAAGAAUAAAUGUCAUCCAUGAACCAGUUGAUCAUAUGCCAAAUUAAAAUGCAGUAAUCCUACGUCAAUAGACGAAUUCAAUGAUCAGAAAUGAGAUACAGCUAUGCAUUGUGAUUGGAAUUGUGACCAACUAUGCUGCAGCCUCUGGGUUAUACCUACCCUACCUGGACAACAUCAAGGAACAGAUAUUGCAAUUUUGACUGCAUCCCAAUGAGAUCCAGCAACCCAACAUAUAGCCAUGUUAUAGCACUUGUAGGCCGAAUGGCACAAGCCAAUGCUGCAAUAAUUAAAGCCAGUUUCCUUGAAGCAACUGGAACUUGCUUGGAGGAAGCAAUUAAUGAUAACCAAUAGAACAGUCCUAUUACGGUCAGCACUGUUUCCAAGGUAUUUGAUAAAGUUCGAGUAAAACAAAAAAACAAGAAUAAGUUCACGAACUGAUAAAAGGGCUACAUCGGAGGGUCAAGGUCAUCCCCAAGACCACUCAAACAAAAUCAAGAAUUAUUAAGUUGAUCAAAGUAAAUAAAAAGAAAAGGAUACCGCCCAUUGUGCAACAUGUUCAUUGCAGACAAGUUUAGAAAGCUUGUACAGGUAGAGAUCUCCCAAUGAUGCAAAGCUUGCAAGAGCCAUGGAGCCUUCACCGAAGAAAACUUCAACUGGGUCUUAAACAAAACUCCGCAAAACAGGGAAAUAAAAUUGCAUCUAAAUCAUAGGGUUGGAGGCUCAUCUCCAAGGGCGUAGGGUUUCUUGGCCAUAGACGUGGCCUAGAAAAUAAAAUAUUUUCCUCAAUGACAAGAAUGUUUGUAUUACGUUAGAACCAAAAAGGUGUCAUUUUGUGGCAUGAUUACAAAUUUAUAAAAUAUGUUUAGUACAACAAAUCUUACAAUAAUUUACGUCAGACAGUAAAAUUCUAAUUCCGUUACUAAAAAAAGUAACCAUGAGGAGAAAAAGGCAUAUGAAAAUUGUUACAUAGCAUCCAACCCAAAAUUUAGUUAUAAUGCUCCUGUAUAUGUAAAUACUUGGUCAAUAGGUUAGUAAUAAGUUAGAUAAAGGGUAUUGCCGAUGCUACAGUGCAGCACGUUAUCCAUCGCAAAAAUAUAAUACAUCACCUAGUAAAAAUAUAAUACUUUAUCCAUCAUCAAAAGUACAAUGUACCCUAAAACCCAAACAAUUAAUAAAGAGACAAUGCACACAUAUUGGAUCAACUUGUUGAGAGGUGGUUCUUACAAUUGGUGUGAUGAACACCAAGAGCAAAAAGAGCUUCCGAGAUCGAUGGAUCAACCUCUUUGCGACCAAAUAGCUAAAGCAUUAGUAGGUAUUUACAAAGAACGUCUGUAAUUGAAUCAAUGGUGCAAAACUCAUAACUCGUGAAUGAACAUUAGGUUAUGGCAUUCUUUGAAUUGCUUUAAAAGAUGGUUGAAGCACACAUCAGAGAAGCAAACAAAGACAAGACUAAGAACAAACAAGAAAAAGAAAUAAUAGAAAAUAACAGAAAUAAGGGUAUGCCUGAAUGCAAAACAUUAAAUGGAUAAAUACGUGACAGUACGAUAGAAAAUUAGACAACAAGAAAUCUAUAACAAAUAUUGGAACAUAGUUUCUCAGAUGAAGUAUACAACACCACUUAUGCAACUAACAUAGAAAACUGUCCUUGAUAGUACACAGAAAUCAGUCAUGAAAACCUAAUAUAAAUUAAGAAACAUCAAAACAAAUAUGAAAUAGAUUAGAGUGAAAAAGUACUAGUUUUAAGAAUAGAAUAGCAAAUAAUGGAAGAAAAAAGAACUAAACAAAUAUAACCAAACUUUUAUCAGCAAACAACAAAAAUAUUGCAAGAUGGAGAACACAAAGAAAGAAAAAUAGAAGAGUUUAGACCCAUAAAGCUACUUUCAUACGACAAUUUGCAACUUUGACUGGAGUUUUCAAUUUAGGCAUUUUUUUUUUUCAGGUUCGCAAACAACCAUCGGGAAGCUCCAUCCAAAUUCUAGUUAAGAACUUAAAGAAAGAAACAAUUAUAAAAUUACGCUAUGAACAAUAGCAAAUUACGAGGAUAUUCGAUACCAUACGCGACCAUAUUAAGAGAUUAUAAAUAUGAGGACGAAAGACAUUCAAUGCAAAAAACUAUGAGAAGAAGACAGCAAACAGCACGAUUGGAGGAAAAAAGAAAAAGAAAAAUAACAGAACCCAGGAAUUGAUGGGAAAAAAAGGUGAAAAGAACAGGCUAUAUAAACUUAUUAAUGGAAGAAAAAGAAGAGGGGCUCUGCUUCCCUAAGUAGACAAAAGAUUCUUGAUAGGAGUCUGACAUUAGAAAAGGUAGACAAUACUAAGAUUGAAUGACAAUAAUAACUAUGACUGGAAAAAUAAUUCACCUAUGCAAAUUCUAGAAAAUAAGCUGAAUUAUGAAUAGUAAAAGAAAGAAAUUAAAAUUUCAAAAAGGAAUUGUUGAAAUCCUAGGGAUUUAAAAUCAUUACAUAAGAAGAUAAACAAGAAAAUCGAGAAAGAAAAAGGAAGGCAAAGGAAUAUAGCAAACAGAAUAUAAUGACAGGAGAAAAAUAAACAAAAACAAAUAGAUACAAAGACAAUAAAAAAUAAUUAAAAAAAAAAUCAAAGAAUAGUAACCAAUGGAAAAAAAGAAGGGAUGAAAGGAUAAAAAAAAAAUGAUAACUAUAAGAAAUCAUAAACAACCACAAGGCAAAGAAGAAGAAAGAGAAGCUUCACUAGAAAGGUAGAAGGGAAGCAGCAACUGUCAUAAGUAGUAAAUUUUGAUUACUCAGUAAAGCAAGUGAACCAAAAGAUUAAACAGAACAAUUUGAACUACUACUUUAUAUAGUUGCCACCCACCAUGUUACCAAAAAAUAAAGAAAAAAAAAAAGAAAAAGUGUCUGCACUAUAAAUUUAUUAAGCAAACAAACUAAAACAAAGUGUAAGCUAACAAAAGAAUAAUGUAGAAAAAAAUAAUUCUAAACUGACGAAAAAAGAAUAAUCGAAAUAUGAACAAAAUCAAAAUAUAAAAGGAAACAGGGAAGAAAAGAAGUAUAAAACAACAAAAUGUUGGAAAGACUAAAAUAACAUAACAAAGGCUAAAAGUCAGGGAGAAAAUUUGAUAGUGCAAAACCCAUCAUUCGCUAUGAGAAAAAAAAAAAAAGCGUAUUAACUUGUUAGCUUUGUGGUAAAGAAUGAUUGUAUCACCCAGAGGAGAGCAAAUAAAGGCAGGAAAUAGAAAAGAUCAAGAACAAAAAAAGGAAAAAGAAGAAAGGGAGAAACAAUAAAUGACGUAAAAUAAUAGAAAAGAAAGGAUCGGGUUAAUGCAAAACAUUAAAUGGUUAUAUAUGUUAUGAAAGAAAAUAGUAACAAAAUAUUGGACCACAAUUUCCUACAUAAGGUUACGAACAAUCAAGAUACAACUAGCAUAGAGACUGUCCAUGGUCAUACACAUAUAUCACUCUCAAGAAACAAAAUGUACAUCAAGAACCAUCAAGAUAAAUUUAAAAAACAGAUAAAAGAGUGAAAUGUAGCAAAAAGUUAAGAGCUUCAAAUGGAAAUCUAUUAAUUAAAAGCCCAAAAAGGAAGCAUAAACAAAAGCGAAUAAAUUUCAAAACACAAAAUUCACGAAGCUCAACAAUGGGAUGGGUGAAAGAACAUUCCUUCACUUCGAUAUAAGAAAAUUUGUAACCAAGGACACAAAACAGCAACAAAAGGAAAGUGGAAAAAAAUGGUCUAUUUCGUGACAUUAUUUAUUUUGUGUAAGAAAAGGAAGGAACCAAAAUUUUUUGCCUCCAAAAAAUAAAACCAUCAAAAUACAAAAAUUCAAAAUACGUGCUAGUGCAAUGCUCAUCACGUUUCAUUAAUCCACUACUUGACAACAGAGUUGAAAUAAUGGAUAUAAGAACACAAAUUUAAAUUUAAAUUUUAUAUUUCUACCAUAAAACAAAGAAGCAAUUUAAAAUUUCUAACAAUUUUUUCACCAAUCGAUACAAACAACACAUCCGAAAGGCCCUUGGGCUAAUGUUCAUAAAGGAUUUUAAACAAACACCCACGAGAGAGAGAGAGAGAGAGAGAGAGAGAGAGAGAGCACUAGGGCUGGCAAACGAGCGAGCCAGCUCGUGUUCGACUCGUGUUCGGCUCGAUAUUUGGCUCGCUCGAGCUCGGCUCGAAUUAAUUUCAAACAAGCUUGAGCAUAAAUUUAGGCUCGAAAUUAAUUUCAAGCCGAGCUUGAGUAUUACUCGUGUAAGGAAAUGAAUUCUCGAAAUACGAGAGUUGAACUUCAACUAGAAUCGACUAAUUGUCGAUUGGGUACCCUUCGGAGAAGCCGAAGACAUCCAAAACAUGAAAAGUGCAUUAGAGGGGACCUCAGAGAGCAAGUUAGUGAGAAUCUGCACAAUUGCAGAUUUUGCUCUCGGGGACCGGUCGUUGGUGGGAGGGACCGGUACCCGUAGCAUGGUGUCCGGCAGAAAAUUCUCUGCGCACAAGUUUUGCUCUCGGGGACCGGUCCCUGGCGGGAGAGACCGGUCCCCGUACGCGUAGAAAAUGGGCAGAGCCCUCUGCCCGCAGGAGUUGCUCUCGGGGACCGGUCCCUCUAGGGACAGACCGGUCCCCGUAGCCCGCAAUGGCCAUGGCUGGGCAGUGCAUAGAUUGCAAAGUUGAGGGGGUUUCUAGUAAUUGUGCAUGUAUGGGGCUAAGUGGAGCCUCUCUCCCACUCUUUCCCUUAUGUCCCAACCAAACACUCUCUCUCCAAGUUCUCUUCUCUCUCUCUUGAAGUGAAGAAGGAAAAGAAGGAAAGGAAAGAGAAGAAGGAAAAGAAGGAGAAGCAAGCUAGGAAGGGGAUCACCUCCAUCUUCUUCAUCUUCUCCUUGGUGGGAGCAAGCUUUAGAGGUAAGUUUCCAAGCUCAACAAUGGUAGAGAUCUAGGGUUUGGACUUCUAGCACUAGAAAUGGUUUAGUUAGAUCUCUAGAAAGCUUAAUAGAUGUUUAAUGCUUAAAUCUAGAGAUUUGUUGGAGUAAUUUGCAAAGAUACAAACCUAGGGCUCCAAUUUGGGGUUUUUGUUUAAUAGUUGAGCUUGAUCUCAAUUGAUGGUAUCUAAACCUAAUUGCUAGGUGUCUAAACGCGUGGGCGAAGACGGAUUGACGAUUCGUCAAGUCGGUAGAGAGAUAUCGGCGAAAAGAGACCAUUCGAGCUUUGUUUCCGCCUAGGAGGCCGAGACAACGUCAUAGCAAGUGCCGAAUCACGUUCCUAGAGCCUUGACAUCGUCGAAAGGUGGGUGGUGCCAUCCCGAAGCAACCGGGCUUCUCUUUAUGUCUUAGUACAUUGUAACCUUGCAUCUCUUAUACAUGUGCAUUGUAGGAUUGCAUUGUUUUAUUCCAUUUCCUUAUGCUUGCUAGUUGAUAUCAACGUAUGAGUUGAAUGUUUGAUAUAGUGGUUAGAUAAGGAUUGGGUCUUGACAUUGAAUCCUAAAGUGCUGAGGAAAAGAGAUGGACUCGAUGGUUACCUAGUGACAUAAUGAGUGGCAUAUGAAUGAUAAUUGAAAUAGUAUGAGUGGCAUCAAACUUAGUGUAAAGUGAUACUCGUAAAUUGUGAACUUAGGGAUCGGUGGACUCCCUAGUGAUGGCUCGUUGAACAAGAACAUAGUGUAAUUAAACACUUGUAUAUGGACAUUGAGAUAGGUGGAUUCCCGAGUGAUUUCUAGCCCUAGCUGAUAGGGUAUCCUCGAGUUGAGAGGAUUGGAUCAUACUCACAGUCUGUUUAUACUUGUGGUCGUCGCGCCACACAAGUCGUCGUGCACUCCGGAGUUUGGUGCGAGAGGGACAGAGUUGAUGUCCUGCAGAUGGUCUCGGGUUUGAGAGCGAGGUGCGUCUCCUUACCUUACGAGAUGGCGAGGUGAGUCGUGGGCGAACCUAAGGGAUUGCCAAUGAUUGGGUAAACAAGAGAAUAGCAUUGCUUAUUGGGCAUUUGCUUGUUGGACAUUGCUUAGUGGACAUGGUAGUGUGUUAGUAGAUUACUUACUAUGUGUUGCAUGCAUACAUUACUCUUGAUUGGGCAAAGUAGUGUAGUUUUCCUACUACGUCGUUUACUGCUUUCAUUAUUUAUCUAUCUAUCUGCUCUUGCCCGCUUGGACCUAGUGGGAAGAUCGGCGGAGUCGGCGACCGAACUCACUGGGAACUAUGGACAAUAGUUCUCACCCCACUUUGUUGCAGGGCCUAGUUCGAGCAAGCCGGGCGAGGAUCGCGGCAAGGGCAUAGCGCCCGAGCAGUAGCAGUGUAGUCGCUUUCCUAUUUUGUAUUAGCACCAUCCUAUGUUUAUGAGUGAUUUGUAGGAGAGCUAUCUAUGUAUUUUGGUGAUGAUCUAGUGGACAAUGUAUUCAUUUUGGGAAAGAUGCAAAUGUAAAUUAAUGUAAAUGAAUGCAAUGUGAUGUAAUAGCUAGUUAUAUCUCUCUUUGUUCACUUGUAUGUACUCGUGACUCUUGCUCUUAUCUGUUGGCAUUUGUUGUGCCCCUCGUUGAUUGUGUAUGUAUAGAAUUUCUUUUCCUAGGCAAAUUCUUGUACAUGAUCAAGUUGUUUAGCCUUGGGCGGGCAGGGGAGGUGUUGUCCGUUCGGCAACUGUUCGACGUGCCCGAACCGGACCAAAUUGGUAGCAGUUUCGGUGCCAAAUUAAGCUCUUAAAGCUCGAAAUAUAUAUAUAUAUAUAUAUAUAUAUAUAUAUAUAUAUAUAUAUAUAUAUAUAUAUAUAUAGUCUACUAUACUAUUAAUAGUAUCAAUCACUUGCUAUUAGGUUUUCGAUUUUUGGAUGAAGGAAUGUACGGUUAGAAUGAUAGUGAUCCCCUAGGAUUGAGUGGGUGGUUAGUUGAAUAAUACGAUCUAAUGGCACAAAAUUCGAUAAUAUAGUAGCCGGACUCUCUCUCUCUCUCCCGGCUACUAUACUAUCUAUAGUACUAAGCGCUUUGUACUAUUGAGUUUUUUGUCGUUAGAUCUGCCUAUGUAUAUAGAGUCCAGCUAUUAUACUAUCGAUAGUACCAAACAUUUGGUGCUAUCGAGUUUUCUGCUGUUAGAUAUAUCCCUUUGGUUAUUUUCAUCCGUUAGAUCAUAAUAUUCAAUUAGCCACCCACUCAACCCUAGAGGGCUACAAUCAUCCUGACCGCAUAUCCUUUCAUCCAAGGGCCGAGAACCUAAUAGCAAGCAAUUUGUGCUAUUAAUAGUAUAGUAACCUAAUUCUAUAUAUAUAUAUACUCGGGCUACUAUACUCUUAUAAGUAUAGACCCCUUUAUACUUAUAAAUUUUCAACCGUUGGAUGUGCAAAUAGAAUGAUAGUGGUCCCGUAAGAUUGAGUGGGUGGUUCGUUGAAUAGUAUGAUUUAACGGAUGGAAAUGGUCAAAAGAAUAGAUCUAACGGUUGAAAACUUAUAAUAAGUAUAUAUAAUAGCCGAACUCUCUCUAUAUAUAAUUAUAUAUAAUAUAUAUUUUAAUUAUAUAAAAUAAUAUAUAUUAUGUAUUUUAAUUAUAUGUAUAUAGAAUUUAGAUUAUUGGGCCCACAAAAUCAAACCAGCAAAAUCCUACUCUAAUUGCUCUCUUUCUCUCUUUUUCACUUCCUCGUAGAGUCGCUUUCCCUAAUUUUUUUAGUAUUAUAAUAUCGUAUUUCAAGCAUUCAUUUUGUAUAUUAAACUAUUAGAUAUUUUUUAUAUCAAAUUUUAGAUAAUAUUUUAUAAAAAUUAAACUAUAGAUUGCACGAUGUUAAGAAUUUCAAGCAGCUCGUUUACGGCUCGAGCUCACUCGACUCGAAGUUAGGCUCGCUUGAGCUCGGCUCGAAUUAAUUUCAAGCCAAGCUUGAGCCUAAAUUUAGGCUCGAAAUUAAUUUCAAGCCAAGCUUGAGCUUAGGUAAGCUCGCUCGAGCUCGGCUCGUUUCCACCCCUAGAGAGCACAUUUGACAGCAUUCUCCAUAUUUCUCAAUAGGGCCCCACAAAUUUACAGAACUAUAAACAAAGCGAACCAUAUAAAUUUGCGAAAUAAAAAAACCGCUUCAUACCUUACUGUAUAUGGUUUCACAAAUAACAAGAUUUCUGAAAACAUCUUCACACCUUACUGUAUUAGUUUCAGCAUGCCCAAAUGAACAAUGCAAUAUCUUUCUUGCAGGAACACGGAAUAAACUAUUCCAAAAUAGUCAUUGUCGGCACAGUGAAAUUAUCUUCUUCUCUUUUAUGGAUACGAUGAUAGCAUUUCCAUAUUGCUCGCCCCCCGAGAUUUGGGUAAUAUUAUUAUUUGCUGAAUAUAACCUUCUAUUCAGCCAAACCAACUAAUCAUGAACCCUUUAUCCUCGACAGCCUCUUCCUCUUUCGAUUCUUCUUCUUCGUAACGCUUCUCUUUCCACUGCUGCCAGAUUGAACAAGCACAAGAGCACUACCACCAGCUGGUCUACCGUUAAAUGUUCUCCCUUUCUUACAAAACCAUUUCAGUGGCAAAUUCUUUGCAACUUUUGCAAUAUCACCGGAAAUAGCAAGCUCAGUUAGUGUUUGAAUCCUCUCCUGCGUUUGGGUAGCCCAUGCCACCAAUUGAUCAAGUGAGAUUGAGUCAUCCAAUGGUCGCCUCCAGAGAUCAAGUAAA
rnacentral:lncRNA from 1 species